rnacentral:lncRNA from 1 species
UUCCUCACCACCACCUCCAGUGCAUUCACCCCCACCACCACCAAUUUAUAAGUCUCCCCCACCGCCUCCCCCAGUAUAUAAGUCACCACCACCACCUCCUCCAGUAUACAAAUCACCUCCACCACCUCCUCCAGUUGACAAAUCUCCACCACCACCAAUUUAUAAAUACAAGUCUCCUCCACUACCUCCUCCAGUGUACAAGUCAUCACCACCACCUGCUUACAAGUCUCCACCUCCUCCAGUUUACAGUUCCCCACCACCACCAAUCUACAAGUCUCCACCUCCACCCUACCAUUACUACUACAAUUCUCCUCCUCCUCCUCGUCACUACUAAGCAAUUGUAUCCAAGUUUUUGAGGUAAUAACGCUUAACCAAUAAAUUAACUUUCGCAUGAUAAACCUUAUCUCUAUCAAGACAAACUGCCAUGUGUAUCAUGCCAAAUACGUACACCUAGAUCCAUGAAAAUGAAUGGUGAGGAGGGCCAUUUAGGCUCGGAGCGCCCUAGGCCUAGUUCCCCACCAUUUCCUGAAGUGCCGCCUCGGGUAUUAUCCUGGAAGGCGAUCGCGGCCCAUUUACCACCUCGGCUACAAUGUCAGGUCGUAACACCGAGGUGGACAUUGAAUGACAACUACGAAAAGGGGAGAUGUGAUCUCUGACACCUGAGCAAAGGCUGCUCUGACCCGCCGCCUGAAUCUGACAGAAUGUCCCAUCACGUCUCUUCAUGGAGACCGGUCAAGUCCACCUGAUCCACUGACUAUCUCAGAUCUUUUGGGACCCGUGCAAACAUCUCCUCUCUCCUAUCAGUCCCCUAUAAAUACACGAUACUUCUACUGAAAAAGGAGAUGACCAAUUUCUGGUAAAACACACUCCACUCAUUAUUUACUUCUCUAUAUCCGAACUGACUUAAGCUUCGGAGUUAUACCGGGGGAUCCAGCCCCUUUCUUAUCCAAGCAGGUGACUUCGUCCAAGAGAGUUGCCCAAGGUAAAGAUAUUCUUCCAAUUGAGGUGACUCACUCCUGCGGGUCGAAAAUCACCUCUUCAAUUGGCGCCGUCUGUGGGAACCGCAAAGAUAUUAGAAGAUGAAGCCUGCGCGUUCUAGAAGCAGAAAAGCUCUCACUAUCGAGGCUGGGCAAAGCAAUGCAGCUCAACAAGAAAAUAUUUCUGAAGGGCAGGAGUCCCCAAGGACUCAGCCCGCAAACGAAAAAGCCAUAACCCGUAUGGCCGAGUUUGUGACCGAGAACCCCAACAUCUUUGAAGAGUUGGGAAGAUACCUGAAGAGGCAAGGCAAACAAAAGGCCGAGUCCUCUAAAAGGAUGUCAGAUGGGUCUCUUGAGGACUCAUCUGAGGAGGAGUCGGAUGGAAGGCACUUAAGCCGAAGUGCCUCAAAGCGAGCAUUUUCUAAGGCCACUUCUAAGGUAGCCUCCCUGACCAAGGCGUUUUCCCGAGGGCUCUUGGGCCGACGACCCGAGGAAGAACCUCGGCCCUUGGGAAUACCCGGGGUGGACUGCAUGAGGGCUCCACCGUUCACGGAUGAUAUAAACGAGGAAAGGCUUCCUCCCAAUUUUAAGCUCCCCGCAGUACAAUCUUACGAUGGCCGAGGUGAUCCCGAGAAUCACAUCCAUACCUUCAUCUCGGCCUUCCAAAUAUACUGCAUCCCAGACCCUGUCAUAUGUCGGGCCUUUCCAGUAUUCCUCAGAGGAACUGCUCGAAAAUGGUUCUGAGCUCUAGAACCUAGGAGCAUUUCGACCCUGGGUGAAUUAGUGGAGAAGUUUCUCCACCGAUUUGUCUCCUCCCGACCUACGACUAGGACCUCGGCUUACCUGCUCACCGUGCAGCAGAACCCGGGAGAGUCACUCCGGUCGUACGUCCGGAGGUUCCAUGAGGAAAGCGUUCAGAUACCUGACCCCAAUGAGCAGGUAACCCUCGCUGCCUUUACCCAUGGACUCGUUGCCGGGGAGUUCAAUACGGGGAUCCAUAAAAAAUACCCCCGCACACUGCAUGAAUUGUGGUUGAAGGUUGAAAAGGGCAUACAGGCCGAAGACCUCCAUCGCAUGAAGAAAGAGGUCCAAGCCACCCGUCCAAGGGCUGAGCCCAGAAAGGGAAAAGACGCUGGCCGAACUGAAGUAGGGUCGGGAAGUGGCUUCCGAAGUCCUGGCCGAGACCGCCGCAGCGUGUUCGACAGGAUAUCCAAGGGGAAGUCACCUAUUCCCGAGUCCGAGUUGACUCCUUUAAAUACUACCCGAUCUCACGUGUUGUCCGUGAUGGAACAAAACAACCUCGGCAAGGGCCCGCCGAGGAUGUUUGGAAGCAGAGACAAGAGGAACUCGAACCUCUACUGCUUGUAUCAUCGUGACAUUGGUCACGAAACUGAGGAUUGCAACGAUCUCAAGAAGGAGAUCGAGAACCUCAUUAGACGGGGACACUUGAAACAGUUCAUCCGCAGAGGUGGAGGUCACCAACGUGACGAAAACCGGCAUGACAAAUGAGGUGACCAACGCCGAGAUGAGCGGCGGAGCUCCAGAAGCAGUUGCCGACCUCCUGAGGAUCCCAGGGAGACGAAAAGGCCUCCCCCAGACGGAUCUUCGGGACAUGGGCCAACCAUUGCCCGGGUCAUUAACACCAUUGCCGGAGGUCCGACGGGAGGGGACAGUCAGAACUCCCGGAAGAGAACCUAUAAGCAGGCUAACCCGGAUCAGGCCGAGUCGAGUUCUCGCCUGUCCGAGGUGAUCACCUACGGGCUCAGUGAUCCCAUCCCAGCUGCAUCCAGCAGUCAUGAAACCUUGGUGAUUGAAGUCCUCACCAAUAACUACAUUGUGAAAAGGUCUACAUAGACCCGGGAAGUUCAGUUGACGUCAUGUACCUCCGUACCUUUGAGAGCCUUAAAAUGGCUAAGGGGUGCAUGACCCCGCUGAGAACCCCUCUUGUAGGGUUCGGGGGACACGUGGUGCACCCCGAAGGGAUGGUGACUCUGACAGUGACCAUAGGGCAUCACUCUCGCUGUAGAACCGUCCCUGUCAAUUUUGUGGUGGUUAAGGCUGACUCCCCAUACAACCUACUUUUAGGUCGGCCUACGCUCAAUGCCUUGCGGGCGGUCUACUCCACCUACCACCUGAGCUUCAAGUUUCCUACCCCAGCAGGGGUGGCCGAGGUCAGCAGCGACGUCUGUGCUGUCCGGGAGUGCUACCUCGCCACCCUACAAGCAGCCUCCCCGUCUACCUCCGGUGCGAGGUCCGAGAAGAGGUCAAAUAUCCUCUCAAUAGAUAGCAUCGAUCCUCAGUGAGCUGAGAAGGUCCCGAGGCUGGAGACUGGGGAUGAGGUGGAAGAGAUUCCCCUGGACCCCACGAAACCUGAUCAGACAGUUCGCGUUGGUACCCGAUUGCCCGGUCCUAUCCGAAGAGGUAUGAUGGACCUCCUCAGGGAAUACCGGGACGUCUUUGCUUGGGCCGCCGAAGAGGUCCAAGGAGUCCCGCACCAUCUCAUGAUGCAUGACUGAACGUCGACCCCCAAGUCCGUCCGGUCAAACAGAAGAGAAGGCACAUCGGCCCUGAGCGCAGCCAAGCUGUUGGUGAGGAAGUGGACAAGCUUUUACCCGCUAAAAUAAUCCGAAAAGUCCAAUACCCGAUCUGGUUGUCUAACUCGGUCAUGGUCAAGAAGGAUACGGGGGCUUGGAGAAUGUGCGUCGAUUUUACCGACCUCAACAAAGCCUGCUCCAAGGAUUGCUACCCCUUGCCCAAAGUCGAUACUUUGGUAGACUCAGCAAUGGGCUACGAGAUCCUCUGUUUCUGGGAUGCAUUCAAAGGCUAUCACCAAAUUGGGAUGAGUCAAGAAAACCAGGAGAAAACGGCCUUCUACACCGACCGCGGCACGUACUGUUAUACUACCAUGCCAUUCGGGUUGAAGAAUGCCGGAGCCACUUAUCAACGCUUGGUCAACCAAGCAUUCAAGUCUCAAAUCGGCCGGAAUGUUGAGGCCUAUGUAGAUGACAUCCUCCUCAAAAGCCAGACGAACUCCACCUUCCUGGCCGACUUGAAGGAGGUCCUUGACAUCCUGCGGAAGGUGAAAAUGAUGCUGAACCCCAAGAAAUGUGUUUUUGGGGUCACCUCGGGGAAAUUUCUAGGUUACCUCGUCUCAAGGCGAGGUAUCGAAGCAAAUCCGGAUAAGGUGCGAGCCAUCCAGGAGAUGUCUCCACCCCGGUGCGUCCGCGAUGUCCAAAGGCUGACAGGGCGAUUAGCCGCCCUGAAUCGGUUCUUAUCGCAGUCGGCAGCUAAAGCACUGCCCUUUUUCAAAGUGUUGAAGAAAGCUGACCAUUUCUCCUGGACGGAAGAGUGUCAACAGGCGUUUGAGCAGUUGAAGGAUUACCUUCACUACCUUCCAACGCUCACCUCACCUCGUCCGGGGGACAAAUUAAUCUUAUACCUUUCUGCUGCGGCCGAAGCGGUGAGUGCCGUGCUGAUAAGGAAGGAAGGGGUCCAAAUGCCCGUCUACUACGUUAGCCGAGUCCUCCGAGGUCCAGAGACCAGGUACACACAAGCAGAGAAACUUGUGCUAGCCCUGAUCCACGCCGCCCGCAGACUCAAGCCCUACUUCCUAGCUCACCACGUCUGCUUGAGGACUGAUCAACCACUUCGGCAGAUUUUGACACGACCAGAGGUUUCGGGACGUCUUACCAAAUGGGCCAUUGAGCUGGGGGAGUACGACCUAACUUAUGAGCCUCGCACAGCGAUCAAGGCCCAGGCUCUCGCAGACUUCGUAGCCGAGCUCACCUUUGACGAGGUGCAAGGAUCCGUCCCGGCUGCCACAUCGGCCACAGUUGAUGUGGCCACCACUGGGCUCCAGCGGUGGAUCCUACACGUGGACGGUUCGUCAACAGUGAGGGUAGUGGAGCAGGCUUGCUCCUCGAAGACCCCCAAGGAGAAAUAUGCUAAUAUGCCUUAAGAUUUGACUUCGCUGCUUCAAACAAUGAAGCUGAAUACGAAGCCGUCAUUGCUGGACUGCAGCUAGCUCGCAAGCUCGGGGCCGCACACAUCUUGGUUUAUAGUGAUUCCCAACUCGUCGUGUGCCAGAUAUUAGGUGAGUACGAAGCCAGGGACGAGGUGAUGCAUCGUUACCUCUCCAAGGUCCUCCAGUUGGCGACUCACUUCGAGUCUUUUGAAAUUCAAAGAAUACCGCUAUCGAAAAACAGAAGGGCUGACGCCCUCUCCCGGCUUGCCUCAACCUCUUUCUCUGACCUGAACAAGACGGUUCUCGUUGAAGUUCUAGCCGAACCAGGAUAUGUAGCCGAGGUAGUAUACCCCGUCUACCCUGGGGACACCUGGAUGGGUCCCCUGACUCGAUUUUUCAGCCAGGGUGAGCUCCCCGAAGACCGAGCUGAGUCACGGAAGCUCCAACGAAAAGCAGCACGGUACAUUCUCCGACAAGGCCUUUUAUACAAAAGGUCUUACCUCGGCCCUUAGUUGCGAUGUAUCACGCCCGAGGAAGGCCAGAGAAUCCUCCAAGACAUACAUGAGGGGCUCUGUGGUGCUCACGUCGGCUACAGAAUGCUGGUAAAAAAGGCUUUGUUACUUGGGUAUUUUUGGCCCACUAUGAGGAUAGAUGCCCAGGUCAUGGUCCUUUGCUGCCCCUCCUGCCAGCAUCACGCUCCUGAGCACCACCAGCCGACCAAUUUAAUGAUCCCUAUCACCUCGUCAUGGCCAUUUGAGCAAUGGGGAACGGACAUAAUUGGCCCCUUUCCCAGAGCUCCAGGCAAUUAUACCUACGUGGUGGUAGCAGUGGACUACUUCACCAAAUGGGUCGAAGCUGAACCCCUAAAAAAUAUCACUGGUGCGGCAGUCCAGAAAUUCUUCUGGAAGAAUGUGGUUUGCCGCUUCGGCCUACCCCGGGUGAUCAUCUCGGAUAAUGGCCGACAGUUCGCCGAUAAUCCUUUCAAGGCCUGGUGUGAGAACCUCGGGGUCAAACAGCAUUUCACUUCGGUGGGACACCCCCAAGCCAACGGACAAGCCGAAAACUUCAAUCGCACGCUCCUCCAUGGCCUCAAGACCAGGCUCCACCAGGCUGGAUCGUUUUGGAUGGAAGAGCUCCCCAGUGUGCUGUGGUCCUACCGAACUACGCCGAGAUCAGCAACCCAGGAAACCCCGUUUUCCUUAACCUACGGGUCAGAAGCUGUUGUUCCAGCCGAAUUCAUCACCCCGAGUCCACGAAUGGCCGCAUAUGCUGCCGAAGUCAAUGAAGAAGAACGGCGAGUUGACCUCGACCUCGUCGAAGAGAAGCGUGAUAUGGCCGCGGCCAAAGUUGCUGUUUACAAAAAUAUCGUAGCUGGCUACUACAACGCUCGGGUUAAACAUUUGCGGUUCAGUCCGGGAGACCUGGUGCUCAGGAAGAACUCAGUCAGCCGGGCUGAACCUCAGGGUAAACUAACCCCCAAGUGGGAGGGACCAUACCGUGUUGUUGAGUCCAGCCAAAAUGGAUAUUGUAAAUUGGCAUACCGAGAUGGGUCUCUGAGUGCCCCGAACUUGGCAUGCUGAAAAUCUUAAGUUGUACUACCCUUGAGGGUAUGUGCUUUUAAUCUUGAGUUAUUUCACACUUAUUUUCAUUUCAUUAUAAGUGAAAAAUAAGGGGACAAAGUAGCAGUAAAGAGGAAAACCGAAUUUAAUUAAAAAGAAAGCAAGAAUAUGAACUCAAUUCCAUUGAAUUACAUAAAAGUAGAAAGCCGAGGUCACCUUUAAUUAGGAAGAAAGCAAGAAUAUAAACUCAAUUCCAUUGAAUUACAUAAAAGUAGAAAGCCGAGGUCACCUUUGACCUCGGCCUACAAUGACAAAAAAAAAAACAAGUGCCUCUAGGCACUCCCUACCCUGACAUCCUGGCCCCCCGUGGUCGCGCCACCCGUUUCGGCACCCUGUCCACCCUCAGCUCCUCCACCGGCCUGGUCGUCUUCAGUACCAUCUAGUUCAAACUCCUGGAGCCAUUUGUUGAAUUCGGCUCGGACUUCGGUUAGGUCUUUCUCAGUCCGGAUGCCCUCAGCCAUGCUGUCGCAUAGCUCCUUGGCAUCCUCGUUAUAGUGCGAAGUGCUCUGAAGGGACUCCAGUUGUUCAGAGGGAAGAAAGGAUGCCGCGUCAUUAAUAGCCGACGUGUACCCGAACAUGAAGCUUGGCCGGGUGAGCUCGCCGAGGUCACGGAUGAAGGACUCUGACGUCCGGAAGGCUUCCACAGCAGUGACCCCGGCCUUGUCCAUGGCCUCCCUGUUUGACUGUUCUUCUUGGGCCCUCCUUUUUUUCUCCUCAUCAAGAGCAGUCACCAGGGAAUUGUUCGCGACCUCGGCCCUUUUGUUAGCCGCCUUGGCCUUGUCACGCUCCAACUCGGUUGCCUUCAGUUUUUCUUCCAACUCGGCAAUUCUCUUCUGGAGCUCGGCAGGAGGCUCAUAGUUUUCCAUGAACUUUCCAUACCGUUGAAUCAUCUCGACAAAAAAAGCCGUGGUAGAGGCCCAUGACACCGAGGCGCUCUGCAUCAACUCCCCUGCGGAGAGCUUCCUAGCAUAAGUGCUAUCUCGUGGCAGCACUGAAUGCACCAAGAGCUCCUGAGCGACCAAAGGGUUCUUGCAGCGAUCGUUGAAAUUAAUCUCCCACUCUGGACACCAGUGUGAUCCGGGGUGUCUCUUGUCCUCCUCAGCUGCCUUGAAAGGCACAUGAUGGAGUUUGAACAAAGAUGACCCCGUGACGGGGUUCUCCGGAAAUAUGGUCACACCCUGACCCCGGGGGGGAGUGGCAAUCGUGACCCAGCGAGAAGGGAUUCCCACCGGAAUUGCCGAGGCUCGGGAACCUCCCGGAGUGGCCGAGGUGUGCGAGCCCUCGCCCACGAUCACCACGGCAGGCUCGCGGUCGCCCGACGCCGCGGUGGUUUUCUUAGCCGGCCUGGAAGAGGACCCUGCAGUGUCCUUGCGCUUUUUGGGAGCUCUUUUGACCACCUCGACAUCUCCCGAGGUUAUCAGGUCGAAAAUCUUCGUCACUGCAAAGUAGGAGACGAAGUCAGUUAGAAUUCAAGAGGGAUAAACUAAAAGGGAAGAAAUGGAAAAAUACAAAGUCUGUGAAGCCUAGUCGAGAGUAAGACAGGCUGGUCAGAGCUCGUCAAGGCUCAACUGAUCCCGCCUUCCACGAGCACCACUUCGGGAAAAUCCCAGCAGUUUAUCCUGAGGCCCGACCCCGUUAACUUCUGGAAGUUACGCUCUUCUAACUUCCCUGGAGAUAUCUCCUUGAUCGAGGUGGGAGGCCUCCACCAGAAUCCGCGAGGGAAGUCAUCGGCCGAGACGAAGAAGAAGUUUUGCUUCCACUCCUUUAUUGAGUUCGGAGCAUCAACCACCAACUUCGGAACUUUGUUUCCGAAGUAGAACCAUCCUUUUUCACUUCUGCUGUUCUUGAGUGAGUAACAGCGGCGAAAGAGGUUGACCUAAGGUUGUAUCUCCUGAUGUCGGCAAAGUAGCUGGAAGCCAACGAGAAUGCGAAUAGCGUUAGGGGUGAGUUGAGUGAUUCUCACCCCCCAGUACCUCAGGCAGUCCCGAAGAAACCUCGUCGUGGGCACUCUGAGUCCGGCCUCCAGCUGUUCCUGAUAGAUAGUCACCUUGCCCUUUGGUGGCAGUGCGGCUGACUGAUGCGGUUGGGGUAUGUAAAUACUAUAAUCCCUUCUCCAGGGAUACCUGCGGACCACCUCGGCUAUUGAGGCUUGUCCCAUACCACUACUGAAGAACGGCAUCUGGCCGUAGUCGAGAGUUGCCACGUUUGGAGGAGUGGAAGGUUCUUGUACUCCCUCGUCUCUAGGGAUCUCAAUCCCGAGGUCAUCGUUGUAUAGGACCUCGGGCUGGACCUCGAUCUCCUCGGGCUGCACCUCAACCGCCUCAGCUCGGCGUGAUGCCUCGGCACCUCCACCCUCAGCUUGGUGAGAUGCCUCAGCACCUCCGCCCUCGGACGCGGUCCUUUCCUGGGAGGGGUCAGGCCUCUCUGCCUCAGUGAGGUCAGGUCUCACUGUCUCUUUGUGCGUACGAGCUGUUCUAGCCAUUGUAUCAGAAGGGGAAGAAGUGAACUUACUUAGAAUCUGCGACUGGAAGAAGAUGCCGAAGUAGACGUGGUUUAGAAAGGUUGCCGAAGUGAAAAGAGAAAGAAACAGAGUUCUGGGGUGAUUCUUGAUUUUUGGUGAAGAGUAAAACGGUGAAAAAAGACCACUAUUUAUAGGCCACCAGGGUGAAACCCAAGAGACGGCACCCUCUCUCUUCAUUAAUGGGAGGACUGUUCGUCUGCCAACACAGCUGACAGCCGUCCCUUCAGUUAUCACUCAGUCCCAUCUAUGCGGUCAUGACGUGUCCGUGUUCCGUGUUUUAUACGCUUCUCAGCUUCGGGAAGUAACGACCACGGCGGAUGCCCAUCUCGCCCUUCUCAAAGCUUGGGGGGCUUAGUGAGGAGGGCCAUUUAGGCUCGGAGCGCCCGAGGCCUAGUUCCCCAUCAUUUCCUGAAGUGCCGCCUCGGGUAUUAUCCUGGAAGGCGAUCGCGGCCCAUUUACCACCUCGGCUACAAUGUCAAGUCGUAACACCGAGGUGGACAUUGAAUGACAACUACGAAAAGGGGAGAUGUGAUCUCUGACACCUGAGCAAAGGCUGCUCUGACCCGCCGCCUGAAUCUGACAGAAUGUCCCAUCACGUCUCUUCAUGGAGACCGGUCAAGUCCACCUGAUCCACUGACUAUCUCAGAUCUUUUGGGACCCGUGCAAACAUCUCCUCUCUCCUAUCGGUCCCCUAUAAAUACACAAUAUUUCUACUGAAAAAGGGGAUGACCAAUUUCUGGUAAAACACACUCCACUCAUUACUUACUUCUCUAUAUCCGAACUGACUUAAGUUUCGGAGUUAUACCGGGGGAUCCAGCCCCUUUUCUUAUUCAAGCAGGUGACUUCGUCCAAGAGAGUUGCCCAAGGUAAAGAUAUUCUUCGAAUUGAGGUGACUCACUCCUGCGGGUCGAAAAUCACCUCUUCAAAUGGUAGAAAGUUUUCUUAAGAACCAAGAACAGCAUUAGUAUUCCCUCUGCUUCCAAAAACUUGUGUAUUAAAUAGAUUAAUGAAUUGUUUAACAUGCUCAUCUACUUGAAAAUGCACAAUACCCAUAACCCACUGAAAUUUUUGCAGGAAAAGGGAAAGAGAAUCUGUGUUUGAGAGCUUCAUGAAGAUGUUGAAGAAUAAGAAUAAAAGCCCAAUGCGAGGAUGUUUUCAAGUUUUUCUAUGUCCACUUUAAUUUGUAAAUUGAAUUUUACAACUCAAUUAAUUCCUUGUUUGUGAGGUACGUAUUGUUUUACGUACCAUGCCGUACAUGUUUGUAAGGAUUUCUAUCCUAUUGGCAAAAGUCGGUUCCAUACAAUUAAUCAAUUCAUUUCACUUCUAUUGGCUCUACUAUUUAUGCAUGUUACGACACUCUUUCCCUUAUAUUUUGCCUUUAAUAUUAUGAGUCAAUAGUAAUAAUGGGCCUUUUUCUUAAAAUUAUACUAUUAUACAUAGGUAGUUUGGUCUAACGCUAAAUUCAUGUUUGUCUUUCUUUUAUUCCCUUUACAUCUCAAAGUAUACUAUAGUUUGUAAUCAUUGUGGUGAUGAUAUUACCAGCUGGUACUUAUAGUUUAAGGCAGAGACAUGAUAUUAACAACUAUCUCAUUGAAACAUAAGUCAAAAUCAUGACAAGUGUGAGUCUUGGUUAAUGCACAAUUUGUUAGUGGAAUUUAUAUUUAUAAAACUCAAAAAAAAUUUUUGACAAUGCUAUUACUAAUUAAUUAAGGACUUCAUUGCUAUAAUUUAUCGCUUACUAGUUUAAACUAUAAAUGAUCUCAAUACUUUUCUCCAUGAUGUCGAUUUCUUUAGACUACGAAAGGGAAAAAUUAGUGACAUAUCCCUUACUGAUUACAACAUCAGCAAAAAUUAGUUAUAAACUUUUCCGGUGGUUUUAAAUCCCUCGGGCACUAAGGUUUUUUGCACAUCGAGUGAAUUAAGGAACAUAGGCAAUUCGUUCUGCAUACCAAGUCCUUGUUUAAGAUGCACGUACUAAAAUGCAUCCACUUCAUUAAUUUGGAAAAUUGCCAUAGUUUUUUUUAAGCAUUUUGAUUUUUUACAUGAUUCAAAAUUUUCUUAUUGGAUACAAUCACUUUGUGUCAAGAACACAUUUUCAAUCAUCUUUUUUAUCUUCUCAAUAAGAAAAUAAAAAUUUAUUCAUGCUUUUCUAACAUAUCCAAUCAUUGAUCUGAAAAAUAAAGAAUUAAAAAAAAAAGACAUUUUCAAUCAUUGCUUACAGGGCAACUUCCCCAUGUGAACCUCUUCAAACAAAGCCAAUAAUAUGAAGGAACAUCUAAAUACACUUUUGCCCUAAAGGCUGGUUGCCUUGGGGUCAAAAUUUAACCUUCGGGAGUAUAAUUACCCGCCAAAUUUAUUAUUUUUUAUGGGUAUAUAGUUCCAAUUUUGCCUCCUGUUAAGCUUAUAAAUAUAUUACGACCCAGAAAAUAAAGGAAUCUUGAAUAGUAACAUGUCCAUUGACUUGAGUUGUCAUCAAUUUGGCUACUUCGAUUCCAUGAGGCCAAUCCAAUUCACACUAGCUAGAGAAAAUGGUGAUAAAGGCACUUAGAAAUUUAUAUGUAAUAUUGAUUGGUAGUAACUGAUAAGUAUAUAUUUUACGUGUUUUAAAUAUGUUUUAUUAGUUAGUUUUGGUGUGUUUUAACUACUUUUAUAACUAAUUAACUAGGAAUCUAGUGAAAAUAUGCAUUUUGUGGUUUGAAGUGUGAAAAUUGUAUUUCUAUGGAUUUUAAUGGUGAAAACUUCAUGUUUUUGUAGGUUUAAUGAUUCAAUCAUCAAAUGACAUGAUUUGAGAAGAUAAUUAGAUGAUUGAUGAUGUUUUGAAGUGAUAAAAAGAGAAUACAAAGUGCAAGAGAGGAAAUGCAAUCAAGAAUAAAAGAAGAAAAUUUUUGUAGCUUUGACAUAUUGUGGUAUUUUGGCAAUAUAUUGAGCUACAAUGAUUGGAUUAAGGUGAUUCUUAAACCAUUUGAAGCUAAGAUAUAGAUCUACAUUUGGUAUGAAGGCAUCGAAACCCAUGUCAGUCAUUUUCCUUGUCAAAAUGUUGAAAUACAGAAGUGCAACUCUGUUCUCGAAAGCUAAAACAGAGCUCUGGCUAGUCGAGGGUAUUUUCAUCAUUUCUUAGUCCACAGAGCUCCAAAUGAGAUGAUUCUUAAGGCAUUAGAACCCUAACUCAAAGAGCUACAACUUUCAUAUUUUGUACAAGAGUUAGUUCGGCCUCCAUCAUUCAGAAAAUAGUAGUUGAAGUGGUGCCAAAUGCAUAGAAGUGAAAACGCGAGCUAUCAAUACUCGACCUGAAGUCGCGUAUUCCUGAGGUCAUGCAUUCUCUUCUAUUUUCUGCAACUUGCCCUGCUUUCACAUAAUUUUUUCAUCUCAAUUCCAACUAUCAAUUUCGGCUAUAUCUGAUCAAGAAAAGUGUGGAAAGUUUGAAAGACAACUCAUAGGAGUUUCAAGAGUCAAAAAUUACAAUUAGAAACAACUCAUUUGGCUCUUGAAUCCUCUAUAAAUAGAGGCCUUUGAAGAACAUUUUCACAACUUUGGAAGGUUAGAGAAACUCCACAAAAACAUAGUCUUCACUAGAAUUUCCUUAGUUCAUUAGUUAGGGUAGUAUAGUAUAGUUAGUGUAGCUUUUCCUUCUUGUAUUUAUAGUUAGGUUUGAAUGAAGAUUCAGGAGCAAAGAUAGAGAGGUUGAUCUCAUGUGACAAGGGUGAUAUCUCUUCUACUACUUUCUCUUUUGUAUUUGAUUUCAUAUUUAACUAUACUACAAAUUUGGCUUUGUUUUUUUUUUUUAUCAUGUUUAGUUAAAGUUUAUGCCUAGAGUAUGGAUGACCUUUCUAUAUCUUGUUUGUGAUAUUUAACUGGUUAUUUGAUGAUGUUAUUUUUGAGCAAGUUAUUUAUCACUUUUGCUUUUCUAAUCGUGAUUAACUGGCCAUUAGUUGUGAUUAUCUAAAAGUGUUAAGUUUGUAAUGAGAAUUGGAGUUUAACACUAGUUCAAGGAAGUGAUAAAUUUAGGGAGUUCACUCAUGAGAGUAGAGGAACACCUUUGUGACCUAAGUGACUUGUUUCAUAUAAUUUCAUAGAAAAAAUGAACUUGUAAUUAAUUUCAUAACCACGAGAGUAAGUAUGGUUUAGCUAUAUGUAUAGUUGAUUCACUACGAGAGUAGGUUUCACAUACAUUAGAAAAUUACAUCAUAACUAGUCAAGAUAAUAUCAUUCAUUUAAUCAGUAAUCUCAUUUGCAUGAGUAGUAAGGCAUUCCAUAUCUCUAGGAGGUUUUUAGUAUUAUUUUCAUUACUUUUAUGUUUAUGGUAGUCUAGAUAAUAAUGGAGUUCAAAAACUACUAGUAAUUGAAAAUUUUCCCUGUGGGAUCGACCUUUAAUACCCUAUACUCGCUCUCGACUCGUAUACUUGCGAAAAAUCACGUGUGCGGUAUUUAGAAUUUAUAAAUGUAAAACUUGACUGUAGAUGAACUAAUUGAUAUAUGUAUACCCCGCACUCGUCAGUAACCAGCUUGUAUUGAUCCCAUUAUUGUGGAUAAUUGUGCUCUUAUGAAAAAAAAUUAUAAAAAAAUUAGCAAAAUUUAUGAUAACAAAUUAAAUUUAUUCAUACAAAUCAGUGAAAGAAGUAGAAUUUUAAAGACCAUGAUGAAAUUAAUACUUUCAAGGGCUCUAUUAGGAAGACUUCACUUGUUGGUGAAACUACACUAGCACAGUUAUAUGCACAUUUACUGUUUUGGUAUCUAAUUUCCUUGCCUUAAGUUGGGUGCAGAUGUUUAUAUUACAAAUAGAUGGUAUCAUAAAAUUGUUGUAUUCACGUUUGUUCUUUUUUUUUCUUCCUUAAGUUUUUUUCUUUAUUCUCGUGACUUCAAAAAUACGAACUCAAGAAAUUGGCUGCUUAAUCAAUAUGUCAUACAGGCUUCGCUAGUGAGGUAUAACUUCACAACUAGAGUCAAUAGAAAUUAUCAAAUGAUUUUUUAACAUCCAAAUUAAGCAAUAAAUUUUGUUUUCAUUUUAUGACAUAUAAUAGUACUACUUCAUGAGAGAUUUUAUAGUUUCUUUUAGGUAUCAUACCUACAAGUGAUAUUUGUCAUUGGAUAGUGACAGAAGUGUUAAUGAUUGUAAGAUUAAAUAUUGUUAAAUAUUGAAAUUUAAACUAUUUAUCUUUAUUGAAAGAUACAAGUUAAAGAAUCGUUCAAGGGGGCAAUUUUCCAUCUUGUCUUUUUGAAAAAACGCUAUCACAUUGUAUAGGCAUGAUAGGUUCAAAUUUGUCAUUAAAUUUAUGAUUGAUUUCCCUUUUAUUCAAGCCAAAUAUUGUUUUAAUUAUCAAAUUCUACUUAUAUUUGGUUAAUUGUACUAAUUGUAGGGCGGUAGAGCAAAAGUUGCUAAAAAUAGGUGAUUUUCUGCAAAUUGGUUGUCAAGGCUGAAGGAUUUGGGAUUCGCAUGUUCAAGGCCUGUUUCCAAGUUUGAUUCAAACUCUGGACAGUUUUAGAGGAAGAUUUGGAAGAUUUGAAAUUUCAUUAUUAGUUUUAUGGUUGAAUUAGGAAUCUUGGAAUAAUUUCUUUUGUGAUUUAUUUUUCUAUUUAGGAGACUAGUUGUUAUUUAGUAGUAGACUUCAAUUAGAAAACAAAGAGAAAAAGAAGGCCGGAAUCCCGCUUGAUUAAUACCUUGGCCAGGGAACAAUCUCGGUGGGGAGGACGGCCACUUAGCCUCUCAAUUCAUCUUGCUUUUCGUUAGUUUGAGAGGAAAACCAAUUGCAACUAGAUUCAAUGGAGUCUGGCAGAAUUUCUUCUAGGAUGCGUAGCUAAAUCCUCAAUUUUUAGUCGAAGGUCAAUUUGAAAAUUCGGUUCCAAAUAUCUGUGAAAUCGAAUUAUUUUACUUAUUUCUUUUAUUUAUUGGUAUUCGCACGUUUUCUGAUUUAACUUUUUAUGAUUGUUUUGUUAUUUGAAUGUCAAGGGUCCGAUAUUCGAAUUAACUUAAUAAUCUACUGCCAAAUUAACCGGUUAAAUCCGUAAUUGUUUGAUUGAUUAAUAUCAGUGGCGACUAGCGUGAUUGGUCCCAUGUUAGGAAAACGUCUGAUCUAAUUUAAACAAACCGUCGUAGCGUGUUUGUUGAUUAGGGUUGGACUUUUCUAAUUCUUAAUUCAAUUGAGAAAUUAAAUCUCCCGGUCGUACCUAAGAUUAUUUUUUUGUUAGCGAAAUAGUUAAUGGUCGUACCUUGACUAUCGAAAAAGUAAGGAAGAGUUGAUUGUUUAUCGCGUGUACGACAACUAUAAUCAAUCUAUUAAUGAGUAAUUGAAUUAUCUUUGCAUCAGUAAUCAGUUGAAUGGACCGUGUCUGAAAAGUUGUACCUUUGGCUAGAGUCUUAUCUGUUGUUGAUUCAUUCAUAUCUAUCUUCAUGCGUUGUUUUAAUUUAGUUAAUUAGUUAUUUUUAUAAAAACCCCUCAUCUCUGGACUCUAAAAGAAAUAAAUUAUUUCUAGUUCCUGUGGAUUCGAUCCUACUCACCGCUAUAUACAAAAUUUGUAUUUUUUUGAAUAAAUAAUUAUUAUUACACAGGCUUGACACCUGUCAAGGCAAAAUUUCCUUAACUUCAUCAUCUGUAGACGUAAACUUUCUACGGGUGAUAUAAUAUAAGGAAAUUUUGCCUAUACGAUGUGAUAGCAUUUUUUCAAAAAAGACAAGAUGGAAAAUUGCUCCCUUGAACGGAAAAAAUCAUGAUCUUUCCUCAAACUAGUCUACUAGUCAAUUCUUUACAAAAGAAUACUCGCUCCUAAACAUAGCCUGUUCAUCUACACUGUCCCGCAGAAUUCUAGAAAGUUAGGCAAAACUAGACAAGUUGACAGGUAUAAUCAUACCCAAGAUCAGGAACAAGCAGUUGCACAUUUCAAAAUUCGCUGCUGCAACAGCUAAUUUGAUGACUUACAACACUACACGGUCAAACUUUGAAUGGCAAUGGAUCUUUUGUUGUACGUCAUGAUGUAAUUUUCAUGUUACAUACAUUAAUAGGUUGAUAUCUAUAUUCUUUAAAUUAUCAUGAUAAUACCCUUAAUUAGAUUUAACUGAUAAAAAGAACACGUGUUAAUAUACAAAAGUGUGUAACGUGAAUGUUACAUUACUGUAUUGCAGAAGACCUAUAGUCUCUUCAUAUCUCUUCCUGCACGUAUCAAUUCGUUUCCUCUAGAUAAUAAUCUCCCAACUCGUUUCUUUACAAAUGCACCUUUUAUGUUUUAUUACCUCCAAAAGCCUUUACAGGGUCUUUACCCUAAAAAUCAAUUCACCGACUCGCAUUUGAUGUCAGAAAUUCUUAAGACGAAUUCUACUUUACUCAAAGAUUGACUGUUAAUAAUGAGACAGCGACCAUUUUGUAUUAUUAGACCGUCCUUCUUGAUAGGUAAAAGAAAUAGAGAGGAAAGUGGGUCCGUAUAUGGUCUUUUAUUCAUAGAUAAUACAACAUUACGCCAUCGAGCAUUCACACAAUAUUUCAAAGUCAUAGCAUGCCUAAGGCCCUGUUUGAUAGCUCAAUUUCGUAAUUAAAUUUAAUAGAUUCAAAUUUUAACACAUUUAAAUCAUUUGAUAACAAAAAAUUGAAUAUUUAAAUUAAUUAAGUAACACUGAACUUUCUAAACAAAACUUGCUUUCAAAAUUAAGUGAUAAGUUAUUCACUUAUCUUUGAAUGUGAUAUGCACUCAAAUAUAUUAAAUUUAAUAAUUUAAUGGAUUCAGAUUUCAGAUUUCAGUUUUAUUACACACCCUAAGUUGCAAAAUAAUACCAAAACUUGUUAUUAUAUAGCUUGAGAUUCAAAAAUUUAGAGCAUAAUUCUCAACCUAACACAAUCGAAUAAUGAAUAUUCACGAUUGUUUCAAAGUACAAUUUGAGGACAACCCAUUCCAACGCGUACACGAUUUUUAACUUUUCUAAAGUUGUUGAGAGCUGUUAAAAGAGAUUUACCAUGUUUACAUCUUCCAAGUCUUGGAAGUGAAAAAUGAAGCCACUGAGUGCUAUAAAAAGGGGGCUAGAGGCUGCCUAGAAGCAUAUCAGCCUAAAACAAGAAUUUGUAGUAACAAUGGGGAGCAAAGCAAAAGCAACGGGGUCUAGGCUGACUCCUCUUCUUACCACUGUUUUAGUGGUAUUUGUCGCCCUUGGCUUGCCCUUGGAAACUGCAGCUGAUUAUUACAAGUAUUCAUCUCCUCCUCCUCCUCCUUACCACUAUUCUUCACCACCACCUCCAGUGUAUUCACCUCCACCAACCCCUGCUUAUAAGUUACCCCCACCAUCUCCUCCAGUUUACAAGUCCUCACCACCACCUUACCACUACUCACCACCUCCGGUGUAUUUACCUCCACCAUCUCCAGUUUACAAGUCACCACCACUACCCCCUCCGGUAUACAACUCCCCGCCUCCACCAGUGUACAAAUACAAGUCCCCACCACCACCUCCUCCAGUUUACAAAUCUCCAUCGCCACCAGUUUACAAAUACAAGUCACUCCCACCACCUCCUCCGGUAUACAAGUCUCCUCCGCCACCUGUUUACGAGUACAAGUCUCCUCCACCACCUCCUCCAGUGUACAAGUCCCCACCACCUCCAGUUUACAAGUACAACUCACCUCCACCUCCUCCCCCAGUUUACCUGUCUCCACCUCCACCCUAUCAUCACUACUACGGUUCUCCUUCUCCUCACCACUACUAAGCAAGUGCAUAAGUUUUGAGGUAAUAAUACCUAUCCAAAACUUUAUCAACACAAACUGCCAUGUAUAUUAUCAUGCUAAGGACGUACACUUGAUCCAUGAAAAUGACUAGUAGAAGAUUUUUUUUAAGAACCAAAGAAAUACAUUAUUUUUUCGGUCUGUUUUCAAGAAUUUGAGCAGUAUACAGAUUAAAGAGUGUUUUUUUUUUUGUAAACUUGCUUGUCAACUUAAAAAUGCACAUAGCUGAAAGCCAACUGAAUAUUUGCAGGCAAAGGAGAAGGCAAUCGGUGUUUGAGACCUUCAAGAAGAUGUAGAAGAAUAAGAAUAAAAGCCCAAUGCGAGGAUGAUUCCAAGUUUCUACGUUACCAUUUCUACAUCUAAAUUGACUUUAGCUCCUGAGUUCCAUGUUUAUGGGGUUUGUACCGUUUUACGUACCAUGCAGUACAUGCUUGCAAGGUUUUCUGUCCUGUUGGCAAACUGCAGGUCCAUAUAAUAAAUGAAUACUAUUUACAUUACGACACUUUUCUCUUUUUCUCUUAUAUUUUGUCUUUAAUAUUGUUGAUCAUUUUUUUUUUAUCAAAAGCAUCAAAUGCUUAGGUAAUUUGGUCUAAUGCUAAUUGUUUUACUUUUAUUUUUCACCUACACCCCUUUUCAACUCAAAGGAUGCUAUAGUUUGUGAUAAUUGUUUAAGACCGAAGCAUGAUACUAAUAAAUAUCUCAUUGAAAGUCAAGGAAACUAACAUUAGGAAAAGUUUAAAUCUUGAUUUGAUGAAACUAUUUAUUCGUGGAAUUUAGAGAUACAAAACUCAAAUUGUGACGGUGUUGUUGCUAAAUUAUUAAGGACAUUAUCACCAUUAUUUUUCCCUGAUCACUAGUUUCAACUGCAAUGAUCUCAAUCUUUUUGUGACUAAUUCUUUCCUUAAUAAUUUAUAAAGACAAAACUCACAAAGAAUAUGUGACUAAUUCUUUCCUUUCGUCUUCUAAAGAAAAUGCCAACUGUUAGUUUAUCAAGGGGAAAAAGGAUCGACAUCAGUUAUUAUUGAAACUAGUAAGGAAUAAAUAAUGGUGAUAAUGUCCUUAAUAAUUUAACAACAGCACCAUCAGAAUUUGACUUUGAGCUUCGGUCUUAAACAAUGAUCACAAACUACAGCAUCCUUUGAGUUGAAAAAGGAAGUAGGUGAAAAGAAAAGUAAAAAAUACAAUUAGCAUUCCCUCAAAUUGUAGAAAGUUAGGUAGCAUUAUAGACAAGUUGAUAGCGGCAAUUUUACAUUUCAAACUUCACCUAUUCAAUAACUAAUUCGAUGGCUUGCUACAUGGUCAAUCUUUGGACCCCUUCCUGCCUCCAGAUAUCCCUUUCCUCAAUCAGGGGCUUCUACAAUUACCAGUUUCAAUUGUAUGGUAUAGUGUAAAUAUCAACAAAUUAGAUGUAGAUGCUAACAUAAUAAAUGUGAAUGCUAAGACAGCAACAUACAAUCGAACCUGCAAUUGUAUGAACCCCAAUCUCGCUUCCUAGUCCACCAUCUUUCUCUAGGUAAUAAUCUCCCUUCUAAUUUAUUCACAAAAUGCACCUUUCAUCACCUCCAAUAGCGUCGACAUGAUCUUUACCCUAGAAGACUAUUCACCGACUCUCAAUUGACGUCAGAAAAUCUAAGAGUAAUUCUACUUUACCCUAAGAUUGAUAUCAACAAGACAAGGACAAUUUAGAAUUAUUACACGCCUCUUCUUAAUAGGAAAAAGAAAUAGAGAAGAAAGUCAGGCCAGGUCUAAUUUCUUUUCAAAGGCAAUACAACAUUACGAAAUCAAGCAUUCAUUCAUACAAAUAUUUCAUAGUCACCGGUUUGCUGAGUAGAAAAAUUUAGACAAAAACUUAAUAUUAUAUUGUUUAAGAGUUAACAAUUUAGAGCUUAAUCUCCUUGUACUUUGGAGUUAACAAUUUAGAGCUUAAUCUCCUUGUACUUUGGACUAAACUUGAACGUGAAAGGAAAUCCCAAAACCAUAUUGGGCAUGAAUUCACACUUAAUAUACCCAAUAAAAGAUGGCGACUGGUGAAAGGCAGUGGAGACUGGUGGAGAGAUUUGAGGAAUAGAAGCAGACGGAAAAGCAACAAAUUUUUGCCGAAAAACGGUCACUUUCAUGGUUAAUUUUGCUACUCUCCAAUUGUACUUGACCAAUUACAACAAUUUCAUGGAGUUUGAUACGUGAAAAGAAUUUUUUAUAAAUUUUAUUUUGAUCCAUAAUGUUAUCUUUACAUAUAUAAAACAUUUUACAAUUUUGAUUUUGGCGCAGCUAACUUUUGGUUAACAAAAAUGCUCAUGUUUAAAAAACCAGAAAUAAAACAAAACAAGAAACAAAAGAAAUAAGAGGGUAGCAUAGACAUUUUGGAUUUUUCCGUUAAUUUGGAUGAUUUCCACCCACGUUCUAAUUUAAUCCAAAACACAAAGGAAUUACGUAGAGGUUUUAAAUAAUGAGGGAGCUUCAUGAUCGAACCCCAAACCACAAGGCGAUUUACUAUAUUUUACUCUUAAAUUUUGGUUUCAUCUCAUAGCAUACAAGAGUUCUAUUUCACUAUCUGUAGACAAAGACUUUCUAUGGUUGAUGUACCAUAGGAAAAAAUCUGCCUAUACAACGUGAUAGCAUUUUUUCAAAAACACAAGAUGGAAAAUUGCCCCUUAAACGGGGAAAUUCAUGAUCUUUCGUCGAACAAAGAAUACUCACGCCUAUUCAAGAUGGAAAAUUGCCCCCUUAAACGUCUAUUUGUCAAUUCUUGAAAAAAGAAUACUCACGCCUAAAACACGGCCUCUUCAUCUGCAGAAUUCUAAAAAGUUAGGUAAACUCUAUAAACAAGUUGAUAGGUACAAUCGUACCCAAGAUCAAGUACAGAUAGUUGUACAUUAACUGCUGCAAUAACUAAUCUGAUGACUUAUAAACAUAUCAUGGUCAAUCGUUGAAUGGUAAUGAGUCUUUUGUUAUGCAUUAGUAUUAGUGUGUACACUCUAAUAGAUUGAUACUUAUACUCUUUAAAUUAUCAUAAUAAUACCCUUAAUUAACUUUAACUCUUAAAAAGAAUACAUGUUAAUACACGAGUGUGUGUAACCUGAAUUGUUACUUAUAAAUUAGUGUGUAAUAGAUAGGGAUGGCAAUGGGGGCGGGUGCCCGCGGGGGGCUCUCGGGGCGGGGGUUGGGGCGGGGGGGAAUUUUUUCCCCCCGUUUAGAAAUGGGGCAGGGGACGGGGGAGUAUACCCCCGCCCCAUCCCCCGCAAAAAAAAAAUUAUAUAUAAUAUGUAAUUUAAUUAGUUAUAAACUUAUGAUAAUGAUAUUAUUAGUUAGAUGUAUUAUAUAAUGUAUAUUAGUGUAUGUAAUAUAAUUAAUAUUAUCAAUUAUAUGAAUAAUUAGACAUGUCUACUAAUAGAAUUUAUGAAUUAGUUAUACUAAAUUUACUAAUACAUUUAUACUAAAUUUCUAAUUACACUUAAUAGAAUAACACUUUUUUCUAAAACAAAAAAGCACAAACACAAUAAUGAAUUAGUGAUUGUAUGAUAGGGUGUAAUUUUACUAUUUAUUUUAUUAUUAAUUUCCCCUAUCACCUGACCUGAUGUGGAUUAAUUGCUGGAUUCUGCUCACUUUUAGUACUUUGUAUUUAUUUCAGGGAGUAGAACGGAAAUUUGAUAACAGGUGCUAAUUUGGCAGAAAAAGAGUCCAGAUGAUAGAGCUUGCCCCAAGGGCAUUUUUGGAAAGGAGAACUUGUGCCCAUCUUGGUAAUUUGGGAGAAAAGGGAAACAGACAAAAUGGGUCUAACAUGGAUUGGAAGCGGCCGCACAGUAGCAGGGAAGAGGGCAGACGUAAAAGCAAUUGCAGGGGGGAAAAGGAGUUUUUUUAGUUUUUAGCUUAGCAUCUGAUUUUCCCUGGGAGACUUUUGUUAAAGAUUUCCUUUUGGCUGAUAUUACGCAUGGCAGAUGGCUUUUAACUUAUUCCUCCAUCUUUGACUUUUCUUCUUUAGCUUGUGGCAGUGGAUUGCUACUUACGAAUGUCAGCACUUAGCCAUUCGUGGCUUUUGAUCUUUUCUUCCUUAGAAAUUCUGAGUAACCUCUUUUCCUUUGUGCGCCAGACGAAGUGAAAACUAUAAACUUUUGUAGUUUUUCUAUUCAUUCAAUAUAUUGAGACGAGUUGGAUUCUACCAAAUUUCAACGGACAUGGCCGCUGGUUUCUCUUCAAUUUUAUAUGGGCUUUGUUCAUCCAACAUGAACUAAUUUCACCACUCUAGUCAAGGAGCAACGAAGGCUCUGAUUUGCCUAAAAAUUGUGAGAUCGUUUUAAUUUAAUCUUUUCCUUUUAUUUAUUGGUAUCCGCACAUUUCUUGAUUGCUAUGCUUAUGGUUAUUUAAUUAAUUGAUUGUCUUGGAUCCAGAUAAUUAAUUGAUCUGAUAGCCUAUUGUCAAUUAGGGCAUUUAAAUCCGUAAUUGUUUAAUUGUCCUGAAAUAGUGACAACUGGCACGAUUAGAUUCGUGCCAGGGGGGAUAUGCGGGCUAAUCUAAAAUAACCCUGGUAGUGUGUUAUUUGGUUAGAAUAGGGCUCCUCUAAUACUAAGGCAAUUGGGGAAUUAAAUUCUACGGGCGUACCUAGGAUUAUUUCUUAAUUAGAGCAGUGAUUAACGGGCGUACCUUGAUCACCGACACAGUAAGGAGGGGUUGACCGUCAUCGCUUGUUUGGCAGUUAUAACCUAUUUAUCAGUAAAUAAUUGGGAUUGCCUUGCAUCAAUGAUCAAUUAGGUGAACCAUUGUUGAAGUUACUUCUUGGUUAGAUCUUUAGUUAAUAUUACCUUGAUUUUGGUGAAUUGCCAUUUGAUUUUUAGUUGCCUACUUUAUUUUAUUUUUAAUUGUUUCCUUGCUUUAAUUGAGUUAGGCCUUUAAUUAUUGUUAUUCUAAGUUUAGUGAAUUGUGGUUUAAUUCCUAAUUAGUUAUUUAUUUUUACUUUCUUAUUUGAAUUUAUUUGCUUGUUAUCAUUCCUACGAAAUCACCCCCCUGUGUUACUUUGGAUUUCUUAAGAAACAAAUAUACCCAAUCCCUGUGGAUACGACCCUACUUGCUCUGUUCACGAAUUCAUAAUUAUUUGUGAAAAGAAAUAACCAUUCCACUCGGGUAUAUCGGAUCAAGCAAAUUCUUCGGGAACAGGGUGAAUCAAGUAACCCAAUGCACACCUAGAGUCCCUGCUCCAGUACUUGGAAUUGGGUUUUGGUCAUUUUAACUGGCAAUUAGGUUUAAUUUUAUUAUUGCACAGGCUGACGACCCUGUCAAUUUUUGGCGCCGUUGCCGGGGACUGGCGUUAUUAUUUGUUUCUUUUUAAAUUCAUUCUUUGUCCUAAUUUUCUGGUUUUCUUCUAGUGUAUGCCUCGAUCUUCUCGUACAGGUAAUUUGAUUUUUGACCCUGAGGUAGAGAAGACCGCAUGUAGAACGAGAAAGGAAACCAGACAGCUCAGAGAAGAGCACUCCAGUGCUACAUCUCAGAGACCCGAGUCAGAAGUUGAACUAACAGAUUCGUUUGGUAACACUUCGAGUGACUCUGACCAGGAGGAAGACACCAUGGCUAAUGCACGAACAUUAAGGGAGUUGGCUGCUCCUGAUUUAACUCAGCAGCCUUUAUGCAUUACUUUCCCCACUUUAAAUGAUAACAUUCCAUUUGAACUAAAAUCUGGUCUGAUUCAGCUUUUACCCUCUUUUCAUGGUUUACCAGGUGAAGAGCCGUAUAAGCAUCUGCAGGAGUUUGAUGUCGUGUGUAAUAGUAUGAAACCCUCGGGAAUCACAGAAGAGCAGAUAAAAAUGAGGGCAUUCCUCUUCUCCUUGAAAGAUUCUGCGAAGGACUGGCUGUACUACCUGUCACCAGGUAGCAUCACCACGUGGGACCAAUUGAAGAAAAAAUUUUUGGAUAAAUAUUUUCCUGCGUCCAGGGCUGCAAGUCUAAGGAAAGAAAUUUGUGGGAUCAAGCAGCAUCCAGGGAAGUCACUUUAUGAGUAUUGGGAACGGUAUAAGAACUUGUUGCGCAGGUGCCCCCAACACCAAAUAAGUGAGCAAUUGAUCAUACAGUAUUUUUAUGAGGGGCUCCUUUUUAGAGACAGGAGCAUCAUUGAUGCCAGGGGGGAGGGUUGGGAUGGGUGGUACGGGGGGAGGGAGUGUAAGCAAGAGGUCUCGGGUUCGAGUCCUCCCGCUUACACACAAAAAAAAAGAUGCUGCAAGUGGAGGGGCACUGGUAAACAAAACCCCUCAGGAAGCACGGGAGUUAAUAGAGGGGAUGGCAGAGAAUUCACAACAAUUCAGUACAAGAGAGGAUGUCCCAAUACGUAAGGUGAAUGAGGUAGAGACACCCUCUAUGCAGCAGCAGCUAACUGAGUUGACCGCGUUUGUUAGGCAACUGGCUGUGAGAAAUGCAUCACAAGCCAGGGUGUGCGGGAUUUGCACUGGUAUGGGUCAUUCUGCAGACAUGUGCCCAAUGAUUCAGGAAGAAACUGCAGAACAGGUGAACAUGGCUGACCACGCGCCCGCGCCAAGGAAGCAGUACGACCCUUACUCAAGCACCUACAACCCCGGGUGGAGAGAUCAUCCCAACCUCAGUUAUGGAGAAAAUAGGCAGCCCAACAUUACACCGAACAGGCAGUCUAACUUUGUGCCAAAUAGGCCACCAGGGUACCAGCAGCAAUAUCAACCCCGACCACCUCCGUCCCCAAGCUCUGGCCCAUCUUUGGAGGAGAUGAUGAAACAAAUGAUGACAACUAUGGCUCAAAAUCAGCAAAUGACGGAGGCAACCAUUAUGCAAAAUCAGCAAAGGACGGACUCCGAAAUGAAGGAUAUAAGGAAUCAGAUAAGUCAAAUGGUCACAACAAUCAACCGUUUGGAUUCCCAGAACCAAGGUAAAUUGCCAUUUCAGCCCGAAUUAAAUUCGAAGAACGUGAGCGCAAUGACCCUAAGGAGCGGGAAAGAAAUUCAGGGGUCUGAACCUGUGAUCCCUAAGGAUAAGGAUGAGGAAAAGAUCGAAAAUGAGCUUGAAAGGGAGGACAGCAAUGGUGCAGAUCUAAAGGUACUUCCUGACCCAAUAAUUACAGCUAAAACUAACCCGCCUCCUUUUCCUAGCAGGUUGGAAAAAUCGAAAAAAGAGGAUAAGGAGAAGGAGAUCUUGGAGGUUUUUCGCAAGGUUGAGAUAAAUAUCCCCCUCUUAGACGCAAUCAGACAAGUACCAAAAUAUGCCAAGUUCCUAAGGGACUUGUGUGUCAACCGAAGGCAGUUGAGGGAAGAUGAACGGGUUAUUGUUGGGGAGAAUGUGUCAGCAGUCCUGCAGAGAAAGCUCCCACCAAAGUGCGGGGACCCAGGUAUGUUUACUAUUCCCUGUAGGAUAGGUAAUACUGUGAUAGAAGGGCCAUGUUGGAUCUGGGAGCAUCAAUUAAUCUCAUACCUAAAUCUAUCUAUGCUUCUCUAAAAUUAGGUCCAUUAAAAGAAACUGGAAUAAUCAUUCAAUUAGUUGACCGAACUAAUGCAUAUCCUGAUGGGUUGGUUGAAGAUGUGUUGGUAAAAGUUAAUGAUUUGAUGUUUCCAGCUGAUUUUUAUGUACUUGAUAUGGAUGAUGAUCACUCCCCUGAUCCCUCACCUCUGUUAUUGGGUAGACCCUUUAUGAGCACAGCACAGACGAAAAUUGAUGUUAAUAAGGGUAUCUUGUUCAUGGAGUUUGAUGGGAAAAUUGUGCAUUUCAAUAUCUUUGAUACUAUGAAAUAUCCCUCAAACUCCAACUUUAGCACAGUUUUCUCUGUGAGUGCUAUUGACCCUGUAGUGCAGGAAGUGUUUGAAACUGAUGGCAGGGAUGAGUUGGAGGUGGCUUUGACCAAGCACCUCGAGUUGGAGACAACUCCUGAGGUGGAAUGGAGCGAGGACCUAAAAUGCACAAUAGGUGCAUUACACUCAUUGCAGUCCACCACGAAAAGGUAUGAAGUCUUACCUAUUUUUACUCCCGAACCUCACCAGAGGGUGUUGCCAUCUGUGGUGCAGGCACCUGUACUAGAAUUUAAACCUCUAUCAGAGCACCUGAAAUAUGCAUAUCUGGGUGAUAAUGAGACACUCCCGGUGAUUAUCUCAUCGACACUGUCAAAAAUCCAGGAGGAGAAACUGAUCCGGGUCCUUAGAGAGCAUAAAGAGGCGAUAGGUUGGACAAUCGCAGAUAUUAAGGGGAUCAGCUCGGCCAUCUGUAUGCACCGGAUUAGACUAGAAGAGGAUGCCAAACCUGUUAGGCAGGCUCAAAGGAGGCUCAACCCCCUAAUGAUGGAAGUUGUAAAGAAAGAAAUUUUAAAAUUGCUAGAUGUGGGGAUUAUUUUUGCAAUAUCAGAUAGCCCUUGGGUAAGCCCGAUCCAGGUAGUCCCAAAGAAGGCAGGGGUGACGGUGGAGGCAAACCAAACGGGUGAGCUCGUGCCAGUGCGCAAACCCACUGGAUGGAGGCAGUGUAUAGACUACCGUAGGCUAAACGCCGUCACCAAAAAGGACCAUUUCCCUCUCCCUUUCAUUGACCAAAUGGUUGAACGUUUAGCUUGUAGAGCUUAUUAUUGCUUUUUGGAUGGAUUUUCAGGAUACUUUCAGAUAGCAAUUGCUCCAGAGGAUCAAGAGAAGACAACCUUCACGUGCCCGUUCGGGACCUUUGCUUAUAGACGAAUGCCAUUUGCGUUGUGCAAUGCACCUGCAACAUUCCAGAGGUGUAUGGUAAGUAUUUUUUCUGAAUAUGUGGAGAAAAUUAUUGAAGUUUUCAUGGACGAUUUCAGUGUGUAUGGUGAUAGUUUUGAUACGUGUUUAGAUAAUCUGAAAUUGAUCCUGAUAAGGUGUAUAGAGACUAAUCUUGUGCUUAAUUGGGAAAAAUGUCAUUUUAUGGUUGAGCACGGGAUAGUCCUGGGUCAUAUUGUAUCGUCUAAGGGCAUAGAAGUUGACAAGGCUAAAAUAGAUAUUAUUUUUGCAUUACCUUACCUCGCGAGUGUGCGGAAGGUGCGUUCUUUUCUUGGACAUGCAGGUUUUUAUCGAAUGUUCAUCAAGGAUUUUUCAAAAAUUGGAGCCCCGUUAUUCCAACUCCUACAAAAGGAUGUGACCUUCGAAUUCGAUGAUAAGUGUGAGGAAGCCUUCAACAAGUUGAAAGAAUUGUUGACCUCACCCCCAAUUAUCCAGCCCCCUGAUUGGAGUCUACCAUUUGAGAUCAUGUGCGAUGCCAGUGAUCAUGCCGUAGGGGCUGUAUUGGGGCAAAGAGUAGGGAAGGCAGCUCACGUCAUCUACUAUGCAUCCCGAGCAUUGAAUGGAGCCCAAUUGAAUUACUCCACUACUGAAAAGAAGCUUCUUGCAGUUAUUUUUGCUUUAGAAAAAUUCAGGUCAUAUUUGCUAGGUGCUAAAGUAAUUGUAUUUUCUGACCAUGCAGCAUUAAGGUACCUAAUGACCAAGAAAGAUGCCAAACUGAGGCUCAUUAGGUGGAUAUUGCUACUGCAGGAAUUUGACCUGGAGAUACGGGAUAAAAGGGGCUCAGAGAAUUUAGUAGCUGACCAUCUGAGUCGUAUACCCGUUGGAGAGGAUAAUGAACCAUUGAGGGAUGCGUUCCCUGAAGAGCACUUAUUUUCUUUAAAUUCUCAGUUGCCUUUGUAUGCCGAUCUGGUCAAUUAUUUGGUAACUGGUAAUUUUCCUGCAGGUUGACCAAAAUCGAAGAGGGAUAAAUUGAAGAGCGACGCCAAGUAUUUUAUUUGGGACGACCCGUACCUAUGGAAGAGGUGUGCAGAUCAAGUGAUGCGGAGAUGUGUAAGUGAAAUGGAAUUUCAAUCGAUUUUAGCUUUUUGUCAUACUUUUGCCUGUGGAGGUCAUUUGGACCCAAGAGAACUGCUCAUAAGGUUUUAGAAAGUGGAUUUUAUUGGCCUUCAUUGUUUAAGGAUGCCUAUGUGUUUUGUAAGUCAUGUGAUCGCUGUCAAAGGGUAGGUAAUAUACCCCGUAGAGAUCAAAUGCCCCAAGUCCCGUUGAUUUUUAUUGAAAUUUUUGAUGUCUGGGGUAUAGAUUUCAUGGGGUCUUUUCCUACUUCAUUUGGUUUUUUAUAUAUUUUGCUGGCAGUUGAUUAUGUGUCUAAAUGGGUGGAGGCUAAGGCCACUCGAACUAAUGACUCGAAAGUAGUUGCAAAUUUUGUCAGGUCUAAUAUUUUUGUGCGAUUUGGAAUGCCUAGUGCUAUUGUCAGUGAUAGGGGAACGCACUUUUGCAACAAAAUCAUAGCUGCGUUGUUUCGCAAGUAUGGUGUACUCCAAUGGGUCUCAACGUCGUACCACCCUCAGACCAAUGGUCAAGCGGAGGUGUCGAAUCGAGAGAUCAAGUCUAUCUUGGAGAAAAUGGUGCGCCCCGAUAGGAAAGACUCGAGUCAAAGGCUGGAGGACGCACUUUGGGCCUAUCGGACGGCGUACAAGACUCCUAUAGGGAUGUCACCGUACAGGUUGGUAUUUGGGAAGCCGUGUCACCUUCCAGUGGAGUUUGAGCACAAAGCUUUUUGGGCGAUAAAGUAAUGCAACAUGAAUUUAGAGGAAGCCGGUGCCCAACGAAAGUUGGAUUUGCAAGAAUUAGAAGAGAUCCGGAACGAGGCUUACGAAAAUGCACUAAUUUAUAAGGAGAGAAGCCGGAUAUUUCAUGAUCAACAAAUUUCAAGAAAAUCCUUUGAAGUUGGUCAGAAGGUCCUACUAUACCAAUCCAGGCUCAAGCUAUUCCCAGGUAAACUACGUUCCCGUUGGAUUGGACCUUUUCUUGUUACUCAUGUUUUUCCAUAUGGUGCAGUUGAAAUCCGGAGCGCUAAAACAGACAACAAAUUUGUGGUGAAUGGACACCGUCUCAAGCAUUACUACGAAGGAUUUUCAGGUGAAAAGGUGGAGACAAUAAGUCUAGACGCGCCACCGUGUCCUAAUCAGUGACAUUUUACUAUGUCUAGCCAAAGACAUUAAAGACAGGCGCUCAUUGGGAGGCAACCCAAUUGUCCCUUUUAAUUAUUUGUUUGAUUUCGUGUGAUAGUUUAAAUAUGUUUUCCUUGAAUUCGACUGAUUUUGGGUUUCAGUUUUCGUUUUUGCUGAAUUGUAGGUGACCUUCAGUCUUGACGCGCCCGCGUGAUGACAUGCAGGAAGCUCACGAUCAGAAUCGUCUGAAAGCUCUCUUGCCCUUUUGACGCACCCGCGUGAUGACGUGCAGGAAGCUCACGAUCAGAAUCGUCUGAAAGCUCUCUUGCCCUCUUGACGUGCCCGCGUCACGUUCGCAGGAAAGGUACGGGUUUCAAAAAUUUAAAGAAAAAAUAAUAAUAAUAAUAAUUUAAAAUUUUGAAAUUAACUUCCGUAAAAAAAAAAAAGAAGAAAAAAAAUUUCACCGUGGCUUAAAUAGAGCCUAAAGAAGAGAAAAAAGAAACAAUUUCUUUCUUUUUUUUUUCUUUUUCUUCUUUCUUCCUUCUUUCUUUCUUUCUUCUUUCUCUUUUCCCUCUCUCUUCUCCCCUGUUUCUUCUCCCCUGUCCGUCGCCCGUGCGCCCCAUCGCUGCUCCACCUCCACACGCACGCCGACGCUGCGAGCCACCUGCGACCCCAGCGCCAGAUCUGGACCAUCGCCGAAACCCGCAGCCUCCGCCACCUCCACCUGAGCUCUGCCUCGCGCGCAACCCAGCUGCUCUGCGCCCGAAGCUCCACCGCCGCCACAGCCUCCCCACGCAGCUCCCUGCUCACGCGGCCACAAGCCCAUUGGAAACGGGACAGAGACUGCCGCCGAGCCACUUGCCCGCGUGACCGCCGCUGUUUUCCACCACCUCCCUCACGCGAGCUCUUUCCCUCUCAGCAGCAAUCCACUUCACAGCGCACCCGCUGCGCGCCGUCGCAGCCCUCGCAGCUCCAGCCCGUCUGGUCUAGUCCGCCGCGCGCACCAACCACCCACGGACGCUACCCCCAUCGCUAACCCACGCGGCCUCCACUCCAGUCUGUCCGCCGCCGCUGCUCGUGUCUCCCUUGCGCACCUCACGCCACCCGCUACUGUCCCCUUCCGUUUGGUUAGCAUCCACGGUGGAGGUAAUUGGAGGUUAUUUUCUCAAUUGUGUGACUUCCGCCUGUGAUACUGGUUGCAUUAUUUUUGCUGGGAAUUGCUACUUCUUUUGGGUUGGGUUCAACUGUGCAAUUAAUUGGCCAACUGGAGCCAUUUGUUGGGAUUUUGGGUGAGCUGAAAUACUGCAUUUGUGUGUUACAUUGGGAGGUUUAUUGGGUACAUUCUAACCGCUGUUUUCCAUUGUUACUCUCGCUGGGGUGUCUAUUAAAUUGCGAUUGAAGUAUUUUGGAUAUUGCAUGUUGAGAUUGAGGUUUCAUUGAAUUUGGCCUACGUUCUGCCCCCAGUGGUACUGGUGGGAAUAUUUUCAAUUGAAUUUGUUACCUCUAGUUGGUUGGCUACAUUAUUAUGGUCGAAUUCCUAAGUUGUCGUCAUUGCAUUUGUUGAUCUUGAUUUGGGGCAUUAACCGGCCAACUGGAGCCAUCUGUGCGUUUUUAGGCGCUAUUAUUGGUUUCUUCUCCCUUAACUUUGUCAACUAUAUUUGGUUGGGUAUUUGGUUGACUGCCACGGACUUGUAACUGUGUUUUGCUUCUAAUUGACCAGUUGCACAGCAGUUUUUUUUUAAUUGAUAGGGUGGUUAUACCUCUGGAUAUUUGUAUCCACUGGUUUGAGGACAUGGUGAGACCAAAAUCCUCCUCUAGGUCUAGGACCCCUAGAACCUCGCAAUCCCAACCCCAAGCCUCUACUCUAGUCAAUACCCCUAUAAAUCAACCUACUGCUCCCGGUGUCCGAACCUGGUUAGGUAGGGGUAGAGGUGCCCACGUGGCUUCCGCCACUCACUUGGGAGGGCAUUUGGAAUUCACUAGAGCCGCCGAUCAGCGACGCUAUGCUCAAGCUUGUGAGCGGCGUAUCAUUCCGUGCAAAUGCGCGGACCACAUUACUAUGGUUUUUCUGGGGAUCCAAGGGGAGGUUGAGCGCAUGUACACCGCCAUUGGAUGGCGCCCCUAUCUGGAUAUUUUCCAGCCAGCCUUUGUCGAGUUGACUAGAGAGUUUUACACCACUUUUAAGUUUGAAUUACCGACUAGGUAUACUGUUGCGACUCCCGAUAUCAUUCACUUCCGUCUCAUGGGCCAGGAAUUCAAUUUCUCUAUCACCCAGUUCAAUCUGGCUUUCGGUUUCAUCACUCGGGAGUAUGCAGAGACUAGGGAAUACGGUGAGAGUGCCUGCGAUUUUGUGGAACCUUUCCUUACCGCCUACCGUGAGGUGUGGGAGGACAUGUCUGUGGACAUGCAGCGUUACGAUCCCUCUCGGUCUCGGAGCUCCUUUCUAGAGGACCCGAGUGCUCGGUAUGUUCAGCGGCUUUUAGCAUAUAGCUACUCGGGCAGAAAGAACAGCUUCGGUAUUAUCUCUCGGCCGGAGCUCUUCUUCCUUUGGUGUAUGAAGAAUGGGUUCAAGGUCAAUUUGGGUUGUUGGUUGGCGGCACAGUUCAAGACCGUCAUGGCAAAGAAGAACAAGCCGUUGAUUCUUGGGUCGUAUAUCACGUACUUGGCGGUCCAGCUAGGCGUUCUGAAUCUACAGGAUCACGAUUUGCACUUGGCCUGCGACAUGGAGUAUCUCACUGCUGACCGGCUAGAGAAGAUGGGGGUUCUGGAGCUUGUCGAUGGCCACUACCGAUUUGUGCCCCCGGGACCGCCCCGCGCCCCGCCUCGCUCUUCCUCCACCCAUUCGGCCCCAGUUGGCGGUGAUCCUGGCCCGUCGACAUCCGCUCAGCUCCCUCCACCAGCAGGGGCUGAAGAUUGGCACCAAAUCAGGACGCAGAUUCAGAAUUUGGACGCCCGGAUGAUUAGCAUCGAGAGCAACGUGGCGGCUAUAUCACAGAAUCUGGCGGCAUUCCUGCAGCACUCGGGUUUCCCGCCCCCAAUCCCACCUCACCCUCCACUAUGACCCGGUUUCAGGGAAGUUUGGUUACUUUCUCCCUCACUUUUGUUGUUUUUUGACACAUUGAGGACAAUGUGUCCUAUAGGUGUGGGGGGGUCUAUAGUCUUUCUAGUUUUUAGUAGUUGUUAGUUUUUAGUUUUUUAGUAGUUUUAGUUUUAUUUCUAGUUGCGUAUUUUCUUUCUUUUCUUAGUGCUUAUUCCCCAUGUGAAAAGAAAAAGAAAACAAAAAAAAAGAGAAAAAAAUGUUGGUUUAUUGACUCUAACUCUACUUUUGCCAAGUUUUUUUUAAAUAAAAAUGUAUCGGGUUAAUGUGGUUGGAUCCAGAAUAUCUCCCUGGUGAAUAUCGGAUUGCUUGGCUCUUUUGAUUUCUGUGUUAAUUUCUCUAGGCAUAGGGAAUGACUGUUGGCAUUUUAAUGUGAACUGGUCCAAUAUUGACUCCAGUUCUCUAUGUUUGGCAAUAAUGAGGCGAGCUGUUCCUAUUUUUGGUUCUUAGUGUUGUUAUUAUGUGUUUUUGGCUUUGUUUGGCUGUGAAUAAUCUGGACUGUACUCCGCUAUGAGUUACUACUGAGUAACCGAGGAUCGGCACCUAAAAGUGUCGAUUCUCGCGUCAAAAGGUGGUACUUUAUAUGAGUACGUGGUCGUAUAGCAGUAGGAGCUGAGUAACCGGGCUCCUUCAUCUAAAAAUGUUGGAGUUCGCGUCAAAAGGCCCCGACGGCUAACGACUAAGUCUUUUUGUGUUAAUUAUUAUUGCUUUGAAAAACAAAAAAAAAAAAGAACGAAAAAAGAGAGAAUAAAUAAUAGGAAGGCUUGCCGGUUUAUGGACUUAAUAUGGAGACUUGUGUGAAUAUUUGGACCAUUAGCUAAUAAAUGUUGUGCGCCAUUCCCUUUUCUUAGAGUAGUUAACCUGGAAAUUGAAGGAAUUUGCAGUUUAGGGGCUAACCGGGGGGGAGGCUUCUUGGAUUUUAAUCACCAAUGCUCGAUAUAUGUUUUUCUCUUGAAGAUCUUGGCAAUAUAGGAGAUUGGACAAUGGCCAUCAUCGAAUUUUGGUGUUCGUUUACUAUUCUUAUGCUUGAGGACAAGCAUGGUUUAGGUGUAGGGGGAAUUGAUAGGGUGUAAUUUUACUAUUUAUUUUAUUAUUAAUUUCUCCUAUCACCUGACCUGAUGUGGAUUAAUUGCUGGAUUCUGCUCACUUUUAGUACUUUGUAUUUAUUUCAGGGAGUAGAACGGAAAUUUGAUAACAGGUGCUAAUUUGGCAGAAAAAAGUCCAGAUGAUAGAGCUUGCCCCAAGGGCAUUUUUGGAAAGGAGAACUUGUGCCCAUCUUGGUAAUUUGGGAGAAAAGGGAAACAGACAAAAUGGGUCUAACAUGGAUUGGAAGCGGCCGCACAGUAGCAGGGAAGAGGGCAGACGUAAAAGCAAUUGCAGGGGGGAAAAGGAGUUUUUUUAGUUUUUAGCUUAGCAUCUGAUUUUCCCUGGGAGACUUUUGUUAAAGAUUUCCUUUUGGCUGAUAUUACGCAUGGCAGAUGGCUUUUAACUUAUUCCUCCAUCUUUGACUUUUCUUCUUUAGCUUGUAGUAGUGGAUUGCUACUUACGAAUGUCAGCACUUAGCCAUUCGUGGCUUUUGAUCUUUUCUUCCUUAGAAAUUCUGAGUAGCCUCUUUUCCUUUGUGCGCCAGACGAAGUGAAAACUAUAAACUUUUGUAGUGUUUCUAUUCAUUCAAUAUAUUGAGACGAGUUGGAUUCUACCAAAUUUCAAUGGACAUGGCCGCUGGUUUCUCUUCAAUUUUAUAUGGGCUUUGUUCAUCGAACAUGAACUAAUUUCACCACUCUAGUCAAGGAACAACGAAGACUCUGGUUCGCCUAAAAAUUGUGAGAUCGUUUUAAUUUAAUCUUUUCCUUUUAUUUAUUGGUAUCCGCACAUUUCUUGAUUGCUAUGCUUAUGGUUAUUUAAUUAAUUGAUUGUCUUGGAUCCAGAUAAUUAAUUGAUCUGAUAGCCUAUUGUCAAUUAGGGCAUUUAAAUCCGUAAUUGUUUAAUUGUCCUGAAAUAGUGACAACUGGCACGAUUAGAUUCGUGCCAGGGGGGAUAUGCGGGCUAAUCUAAAAUAACCCUGGUAGUGUGUUAUUUGGUUAGAAUAGGGCUCCUCUAAUAUGUAAGGCAAUUGGGGAAUUAAAUUCUACGGGCGUACCUAGAAUUAUUUCUUAAUUAGAGUAGUGAUUAACGGGCGUACCUUGAUCACCGACACAGUAAGGAGGGGUUGACUGCCAUCGCUUGUUUGGCAGUUAUAACAUAUUUAUCAGUAAAUAAUUGGGAUUGCCUUGCAUCAAUGAUCAAUUAGAUGAACUAUUGCUGAAGUUACUUCUUGGCUAGAUCUUUAGUUAAUAUUACCUUGAUUUUGGUGAAUUGCCAUUUGAUUUUUAGUUGCCUACUUUAUUUUAUUUUUAAUUGUUUCCUUGCUUUAAUUGAGUUAGGCCUUUAAUUAUUGUUAUUCUAAGUUUAGUGAAUUGUGGUUUAAUUCCUAAUUAGUUAUUUAUUUUUACUUUCUUAUUUGAAUUUAUUUGCUUGUUAUCAUUCCUACGAAAUCACCCCCCUGUGUUACUUUGGAUUUCUUAAGAAACAAAUAUACCCAGUCCCUGUGGAUACGACCCUACUUGCCCUGUCCACGAAUUCAUAAUUAUUUGUGAAAAGAAAUAACCAUUCCACUCGGGUAUAUCGGAUCAAGCAAACUCUUCGGGAACAGGGUGAAUCAAGUAACCCAUUGCACACCUAAAAUCCCUGCUCCAGUACUUGGAAUUGGGUUUUGGUCAUUUUAACUGGCAAUUAAGUUUAAUUUUAUUAUUGCACAGGCUGACGACCCUGUCAUUGUAUUUGUACCAAAAGUGAAAACUUAACUAUUUUAGUUGUAUUUAUUUCAUCAUGUUGGAUUGUAUUCAAAUAAUUUUUGUUUGAUUGUUUUUAUAAGUUUCAAUUGUAAAAUUAAAAUGAAUAAUAACUUGAUGAUGUGUUGAUAUUUUAGUACUUGAUUAUUUAUUAAAAUUUAAUUAUAAUAAAAUUUUAUUAACUCAACGAGAAAAAUUUUAUUAAUCCCGUGGGGGCACCCGCGGGGAAAGCGGGGCGGGGCGAGGGGAGUGGGAGGCGGAGGACGGGGCGGGGGCGGGGGAUGGGGGAGGGGUCCCCCGCCCCAACCCCGCCAUCCCCCGUCCCGUUGUCAUCCCUAGUAAUAGACUGGCAAGCAUUGUGGUGGUCAUUGAGCAACUUAUAGGAGAAAUAGUCCUAUAAGCUGUUCAAUGACCAAUCACAACUUGCUAAUUGGAUGACUAAUAUAGCUCUAGCUGUAAUGUUUUAAUUAAAUUACAUCACUAACGUUGGGAUGACUUUUUAACCAAAAAAAAAAAGCCUUAGUUCAAGCUUUUCCCUUUAUUGUGCAUUUUUUAAAGCAUUUGAAAGGCACUGCAAAUCUGUCAUUUUGGACAUUUUAUUAUUGACUAACAAUGAAAGCCGUGGACGUCUACCCAUAACCAACACAAGAUUAAAUUAAUAUUAGAAAAAAUAAUUGAGUAAUUGGAAAAAAAAAAAAAAGAAGAGUCUAAUUUUCAUUGAAACCCACCGACAAACUAUACGUGUCCAUGGCUUUUGAAUAGUGCAUUCAACGUUUAAUUGUAUGGUCCAGUUCAUUGCAGAUUACAUGGAGUAAAGAUUGCGCUCUUUCCUUUUCACCCCUUUUGGAAUCGAUACUGUGGAGAAUUGGGUUUUUCCCUCCUUUUUUUCUUUUCUUUCCUUCUGUGGUUUGCAAAACAUACGUAAAAAUAUGAAAUCCGAAGCAUUCUUUAAUUGGUAUUAAGUAUUGUUGUUGAAAUUAAAAAGAAAAAAGAAAGAACAACAAAAUUCCCAAUCUGGGUUGAUUGUUGAGCUCUAGAUUGGUUGCAUCGUGCUUCCAUAGAAGCAAGAUUUGUAAAAUCGGAAUCCUACAUAGGAUCGAUUUUAGUUUCACAGGAUCGGAUUGUAAAAUCGUAAGAUCCUACCAAAAGCUCUCAAUUGCAAUUAAAGGUUGCAAUUCUUUAAUAAAUUACAAAUAUACCACAAAUAUUUUCAUUUACUUGCAAAAUGGAGCUUCGUAUUUCACAAAUUUACAAAAAAAUUGUAGGAUCGUACGAUCCUACCGAUCCUACGAUCCUACACGAUCCUACCGAUCCUGCUACGAUUCUAUGCGAUCCUACAAAGAUUAAUAUGAUUUGCGACUCUGCAUACGAUCCGGAUCGAUUUUGGUUAUCCGGAUCGUAGGAUCGUAUGAUCCUACGAUCCGGAUCGCGAUUUUGACAACUAUGCAUAGAAGCUCUCUUAGUGUGAUACACUGCUUUCAAUCAGUUUAACACGGGAAAAAAAAAAAGAGAUGAAAAGCAAAUUUGGUGGAGAUAAUUUCAGAAACCUCCCCUGAAGAUUUUGACUAUUCUACUGGUUUCCCUUCAGAUUUUAAAAAUUACACUAAUCUUCCUUGAAGUUAAUUAUCUUGUAACAUUUAAAUUCAAUCAAUAAUUUAAAAAAUGAUAUUAUGAGAGAGAAAAUAAUAUGAUUUUAUCAUUGCCCCCCAUCUUACUACAUUAUUUAAUUAAUUUAAUAGCAACCCACACAUUAAAGAAAAAUAUUAAAAUUUGUUGUUUAUCAUUAAAGAUCAAAUCGCUUAUAACAUCAAAUAAUAGUAUAUUAUUUAUAUUUUUCACUUAAUAUAAUAUCCAAAUUACUCUUUUCAAUUACAUACCCAUUGUUAGAGAAUCAACAACAAAUAACCAAAAAAUUUGCAACCAAAAUAUUACAAAAAAAAUAAACUUUAACAUCAUAAAUAUUCUUAUCAACAUAUUAAAGUUAGUUACUGAAAUUUUUAUGCUGUUAAACUUCACUCUUUUUGAAUACAGAUUUUUUUGAUUAUUUGUUAUUAAUUAUGUUUGAUGAUGGGUUUAUAAUUGAAAAGAACAAUUUGAAACUUACAUUAAGUAAAAUAUAUAGAGUGAUAUACUAUUUUUUAUAACAUAUGUGAUUCAAUCCUUCUUGAUAGGAUUGGUAAUAGAGGUAGAGGGGGGAGUCGGCUGCAUCCGGUCUUCUUUUCAUAGAUAGUACAAUAUUGCGAAAUCAAUCGCAUUCACACAAUAAUAUUUCGAAGUCAAUGCAUGGCUAAGUUGCAUAAAAGUACGAACACUUGUUAUUAUAUAGCUUAAGAUUCAAAACUUUCGAGCAUAACCCUCCACCCAACACAAUUGAAUAAUGAAUAUUCACGAUUGUCAAAUCUGUCAAAGCACAGUUUGAGGACAACCCAUUCCAACCUGCAAAAGAUUUUUUACUUUUCUAAAGUUGUUGAGAGCUGUAAAAAGACUUACCAUGCUUGCAUCCUCCGAGCCUUGGGAGUUAAAAAUGAAGGCACUGAGUGCUAUAAAAAGGGGAAUAGAGGCUGCCUAGAAGCAUAUCAGCCUAAAACAAGAAUUUGUAGUUAAGAUGGGAAGCAAAGCAAAAGCAAUGGGGUCUGGGCUGACUCCUCUUCUUGCCACUGUUUUAGUGGUGUUUGUUGCUCUUGGCUUGCCCUCACAAACUGCAGCUGAUGAUCACUACAAGUAUUCAUCUCCUCCUCCUCCUUACCACUAUCCCUCACCACCACCACCAGUGCAUAUACCUCCACCUCAUCCUGUUUACAAGUACAAAUCUCCACCACCCCCACCACCACACCCAGUUUACAAGUAUAAGUCACCACCACCACCUCCUCAUCCGGUAUACAAGUAUAAGUCUCCUCCGCCACCACCACACCCAGUUUACAAGUACAAGUCACCACCACCACCUCCUCAUCCGGUACCACACCCAGUUUACAAGUAUAAGUCACCUCCACCACCUCCUCAUCCGGUACCCACAGUUUACAAGUAUAAGUCACCACCACCACCUCCUCAUCCGGUAUACAAGUAUAAGUCUCCUCCGCCACCACCACACCCAGUUUACAAGUAUAAGUCACCACCACCACCUCCUCAUCCGGUGCCACACCCAGUUUACCACUACAAGUCACCACCACCACCUCCUCAUCCGGUACCACACCCAGUUUACCACUACAAGUCACCACCACCUCCUCACCCAGUUUACAAAUACGAGUCUCCACCACCACCAGUUUAUAAGUACAAGUCACCACCACCUCCUCCACCAGUUUACAAGUAUAAAUCUCCUCCACCACCACCACCAGUUUACCACUACAAGUCUCCACCACCUCCUCCCCCAGUUUACAAAUACAAGUCUCCACCACCUCCUCACCACUACUAAGCAAUUGCUUCUGAGGUAAUAACACUUGUUCAAUAUACCCACUUCUGCAUGAUAAAGCAUAUCUCUAUCAACACAAACUGUCAUGUCUAUCAUGCUAAGUGCCUUCACUUCAUCCACCAAAAUGACUGCUAGAAAAUUUUUUUUAUGUUACCAAAGAAAGGCAUCAUUUUUUCCCUCUGUUAUCAAGAACUUGUACAGUAUAUAGAUUAAAGAGUAUUUUUUUAACUAGCUUAUCAACUGAGAAAUGCAUAUAGCUGAUAGCCAGCUGAAUAUUUGCAGGCAAAGGAGAAGGAAACCAUGUUUGAGACCUUCUUGAAGAUGUAGAAGCAUAAGAAUAAAAGCCCAAUGUGAAGAUGAUGAUUUCAAGUUUUUCUACGUUACCAUUUCUUUAUCUAAAUUGGUUGUAGCGCCCAAGUUCCUUUGUUUAUGGGAUUUGUAUCGUUUUACGUACCAUGCAGUACAUGUCAUGUUUGUAAGGUUUUCUAUCCUGCCGGCAAACCGCAGGUUCCAUGUGAUAAAUGAAUACUAUUUAUGUUACGACACUUUUCUCUGUUUCUCUUAUAUUUUGUCUUUAAUAUUCUUAAUCAUAUUUUUAACAAAAAUAUUCAAACACUUAGGCAAUCUGGUCUAAUGCUAAUUGUAUGUUUUACUUUUCUUUUUCACCUGCUCCCCUUUUCAACUCAAAAGGAUGCAAUAGUUUGUGAUCACUGUUUAAGACGGAAGCAUGAUACUAAUGAAUAUCUCAUUGAAACUCAAGGAAACUAACAUUGCGAAAAGUGUAAAUCUUGAUUUGAUGCAACUAUUUAUUCGUGGAAUCUAUAGUUACAAAACUCAAAUUCUGACUGCGCCAUUGAUAAAUUAUUAAUGACGCUAUCAUCAUUAUUUAUCCCUAACUAGUUUCGACUACAACUGAACCCAAUAUUUUCCCCAUGAUAAAAGUUUUUGACUAUUUUACUGGCCUCUCUUCAAAUUUUAAAAAUUACACUAAUCUUCAUUGAGAUUAAUUAUCUUGUAACAUUUAAGUCCAAUUAAUAAUUAAAAAAUGAUAUUAUGAGAGAGAAAAUAAUAUAAUUUUAUCAUUGCCCCCCAUCUUGCUAUAUUAUUUAAUUAAUUUAAUAGCAACCCACACAUUAAAGAAAAAUACUAAAAUUUGCUGCUUUUCAUUAAAGAUCAAAUUGCAUAUGCCAUAAAACAUAGUAUAUCAUUCUAUAUGUUUCACUUAAUGUAAGAUCCCAAUUGUUCUUUUCAAUUACAAACCCAUUGUCAAACAUGAUCAAUAACAAAUAAUCAAAAAAUUUGCAACCAAAAUAUUACAAAAAAAAACUUUAACAUCAUAAAUAUUCUUACCACCUCUAGUGCAUUCACCCUCAUAAAAUAAUUCAAGACCCUACUGUCAUAAAAUGACUGAUCAACUCCUGUAAACCUAAUUUGACAACAUUUAAAUGGAGAACUUUAGCUAAAAGAAUUAUGGUCAAGCUAAAGAAAAAACCAGUUAUUUUCCAACAUAUGCAACCAUUGAUCAGGGGAAAAAAAAAAGCAAAAAGACAUCUUCAAUCAUUUAAUAGCUUACAGGGCAAAUUAACCCUUGAGUGAAAACUGGUUGCUCUAGAAUUAAAAUUUUACCUUAGUUACCCAGGCAACUUUUUUGUUGCCUUUUCUUUUUCUUUUUUGGGUAUAUAGCUCCAGUUUUGCCCCCUCUGUCAAGCUUAUAUAAUUAUUAAGAUAAUAAAAGUGCCUUUAAUAGUAUUAAUAUAUCCAUUGACUUGAGCUGUCAUCGAUCGGUUUGGGCUACUUCGAUUCCAUGAGAACAAAUGGUAAUAAAAGUACUCAGAAAAUGGGGAGUCAUGAAACCCUUUUGUUCUAUUCAUUGCUAAGAUGCUUUUCUCUAUAAAGAGACUUCCUAACGAAAAUACUUUGUAGAUUUCUUUACUCCAAGUGGUGCAUGGAAAAUUAAUAUUUUCAAUUAUCAAAUAAAAUUCCCUUUUUUCGGCGUAGAUUUCAUCCAUCCAGCUGUUAACACAUUCUAUAAAUCCGAAUUGACUAAUCUUUUCGUUUCCAUUUUCCAACUUGCGAAUACGGCAUAUAGUGUCUGCUAAACACUAUAUAUUCUCUGCCAAAUAUGAAUACAUAUCACUUUUCUGAGCAAGUGCAGAGUCAUUAUCAUUUUUAUUCCCACCUAACAAAUUAGGGAUAAAAAAGUUAAUAAUCUUUACAUGCUAUCAGGUCACAAGUUAAUAAUCUUUUAAAGAACAUGUUAAAUUAAUUUAUUGGUAUGAAUAGUAGUCAAAGAAGUAUGUUAAAGUUAGUAAUCUUUAAAAUAAUAUGUUAAAAUCAUUCGUACAAAUUAGUCAGAGAAGUAGCAUAAACACCGCGAUGCAAUUAAUACUUUCAAUCUCAAGGUCUCUAUUAUGGAAAUUUGCAUCGGUCAAUAUACACUUGGCAUAAUAUAAUCUCCCAACUCAUUUCUUUACAAAUGCACCUUUAAUCACCACCAAAAGGUGUGGACAUGAUCUUUACCCUAGAAAACUAUUCACCGACAGGCAAAUUGACGUCAGAAAUACUGAGGAAUUCUAGUUUCCUUCGGGUUCAUGCCAUGUUGUAUCCUUCAACUGUAACUCGAUUUCUAAGCUGUAAUUUGUGACAUAAUAGUCCUUAAACUAUGAAACCCUUCUUACUUAAUUACAAUGGUUAAUACAAUGCCCGUGACUAGACAAGUAUGAAGCAACCAUAACAGAAAAAAAAUCCAAAAUUAGAGAAAAGAAAGAAGUUUCGCGACCACCACCAGUUUACAAGUCACCUCCACCACCUCCUCCAGUUUACAAGUCACCUCCACCACCUUACCAUUAUUCCUCACCACCACCUCCAGUGCAUUCACCCCCACCACCACCAGUUUACAAGUCUCCGCCACCACCUUACCAUUAUUCCUCACCACCACCUCCUGUGCAUGCACCUCCACCACCAAUUUACAAGUCACCUCCUCCAGUUUACAAGUCUCCACCACCACCUUACGAUUAUUCCUCACCACCACCUCCAGUGCAUUCACCCCCACCACCACCAAUUUAUAAGUCUCCCCCACCGCCUCCCCCAGUAUAUAAGUCACCACCACCACCUCCUCCAGUAUACAAAUCACCUCCACCACCUCCUCCAGUUGACAAAUCUCCACCACCACCAAUUUAUAAAUACAAGUCUCCUCCACUACCUCCUCCAGUGUACAAGUCAUCACCACCACCUGCUUACAAGUCUCCACCUCCUCCAGUUUACAGUUCCCCACCACCACCAAUCUACAAGUCUCCACCUCCACCCUACCAUUACUACUACAAUUCUCCUCCUCCUCCUCGUCACUACUAAGCAAUUGUAUCCAAGUUUUUGAGGUAAUAACGCUUAACCAAUAAAUUAACUUUCGCAUGAUAAACCUUAUCUCUAUCAAGACAAACUGCCAUGUGUAUCAUGCCAAAUACGUACACCUAGAUCCAUGAAAAUGAAUGGUAGAAAGUUUUCUUAAGAACCAAGAACAGCAUUAGUAUUCCCUCUGCUUCCAAAAACUUGUGUAUUAAAUAGAUUAAUGAAUUGUUUAACAUGCUCAUCUACUUGAAAAUGCACAAUACCCAUAACCCACUGAAAUUUUUGCAGGAAAAGGGAAAGAGAAUCUGUGUUUGAGAGCUUCAUGAAGAUGUUGAAGAAUAAGAAUAAAAGCCCAAUGCAAGGAUGUUUUCAAGUUUUUCUAUGUUUCCACUUUAAUUUGUAAAUUGAAUUUUGCGACUCAAUUAAUUCCCUGUUUGUGAGGUACGUAUUGUUUUACGUACCAUGCCGUACAUUUUUUUUUUCCAACAAACGGUAUCAUGUUAUAGAUAUUAACACUUGACCUUACAAGGAUUAGUUACAAAAAGGGGAUACUACCCUCAACUCUGUCCUAGCUAAAUCAGUCAGCCAUAUUGGGAAAUUAGUUUCCCAUUCAAUAUCAUGUACAAGCUUCACAGCAUAUUGUGCUAAUUGAUGGCUGAUGUGAUUUUCAGUUCUAGGUAUAAACACAAAAGAACAUUUUUCAAAAGCUAGACUAAGUUCCUGCACAUCUUCUAAGAUAGUUGCAGUCGUGUAGUCAUACUCCUUGCGUUUAGUAAUCUGCUCUACCACUGAUUUGCAGUCUGUAUGGACUAUAAUUUGUGUCCAACCUGCUUGGGUAGCCAUCAGCAGAGCAUUUCUCACAGCCCGAGCUUCCACUUCACUUGCCGAUCCCUUUCCCUGUGUGACAAUUCCUUUUGCUUUCAAAAGCUGUCCUUUCCAAUUUCUUGCUAUAAUCCCUUGUCCGGUCCUGACUCGUUUAGCUGAUAUCGCUGCAUCGGUAUACAGCCUUAUCUCUUCCUUCCUUGGCCGCACUCUCCUGGUAGGUAAGGCAUCAUUCAGCUUCCCUGCGAUCUCCUUCUGGUCUGUACUCCCUACCUGUUCAAACUCAAGCCAUUCCUCCUGUGCUUUCCUUACUAUUUUUACUGGAUCCUGGUUGGCUUGUUCAAAAAAUUUUUUGUUCCUGGCUUUCCAAAUUUGCCAAAGGAUAUUGAUAGUAAGACUAACUCUCUCCUGACCUUGGUUCAGUGCCAGCGAUUGUGUGACUUGUUCCCACCAUAACCAAAAGUUAUAUUGCAUACCCAGUAAUCCAUCCCACCUGACCGGUGCUAGCUUCCACGUUUCCACAGCCUUUUCACAGAAGAAAAACAAAUGCUCAAUAGUUUCCAUAUCUUCACCACAGCAACCACAUCUGCCUUCCCCUCUAUGUAGCCUUUUCGACAUCUGUUCAUUGACUGGCAGACAAUUUUGUAAGCACUUCCACAUGAAGUGUUUUAGUUUGGCCUUCACCUUCAAAUGCCAUAGCUGCUUCCACACAUUUCGUUUUCGUAUCUCCCAACUUGUUUCUGCCUCUUGGCCUGUCCUUGUACCUGCUUUUCCUUCCCGUUGCCUUGCUAAAGCAUAACCAGAUUUCACGCUAUAAAUUCCAGCUUUGGAAUGCCCCCAUACCAACCUAUCCUUUCUUCUUCCUAUACUUGUUGGAAUUCCCUUUAUGUGCUCUGCAUCUUUUGCACAAAACCACUUGAGAAGCAAAUCAUUUUUCCAUUUCCCUUCCUCUAUCAGCUCACUUACCCAUUCCAACUUGCAUCCCACAGGUUGUGUGGUUGAUGCAAAGCCGGUAUCUGAACCAACUAUCCAUCUGUCCCGCCACAUGUUGACUGACUUGCCAUCUCCAAUUCUUUUCCAAAGACCAUCAUACAGAAAGGAGGCUGCACUAUGAAUACUCUUCCAACACCAUGAGGCUGAAGAGACUGGCUUCUUGUCCAUCCAUUUUUCAUCACUCAUAUACUUCGCCUUCAUUACCUUACUUACUAACAAAUUUGGAGCCAUUAAGAAUCUCCAAAUUUGUUUUGCCAGUAAUGCUGUGUUGAAGGCCUCCAAAUCUCUAAAGCCUAAACCUCCUCUUCCCUUAACUUCUAAGAGCUUCUUCCAGCUUGCCCAAUGUACACAGGUACCCUUUUCUCCCUUCCCCCACCAGAAACUCGCUAUUUUACCUGUGAUUUGUCUACACAAACCCCUUGGAAGUCUAAAGCAAGCCAUCACAUAUGUUGGCAUAGCCAUAAUCACUGAUUUGACCAGAAUUUCUUUCCCUCCUUGGCUCAACAGUUUUUGUUUCCAACCUUGCAACUUGUUACUAAUUUUGUUCUGGACAAAUGCAAAGACCUGUGUCUUUGAUCUUCCAAUUGCCAUUGGGAGUCCUAGGUAGGUUCCAUUCCUUGCCUCUUUAAUGUUAUCUAAUACCUCCCUCACUCCAUUCUUCCUUUGAUCAGUGGUAUUUUUGCUAUAGAAGAUAGCUGACUUUUCAAAAUUCACCACCUGUCCGGAUGCUUGACCAUAUCUUUCCAAUAUGCUUUUGACCUUCCUCGCCUCCUGCUUGGUUGCUUGGCAGCAUAGUAGAGAAUCAUCUGCAAAAAAUAGGUGAGAAACCAUCGGACUGUCCUUGCAUAUUUUGAUCCCUGUAAUUUCCUUGUUCAUCAUAGCUUUAUGGAUCAAACAUGAAAGACCUUCAGCGCAUAUAAUAAACAAGUACGGGGAUAGGGGGUCUCCUUGUCUAAGCCCUCUACUCGGUUGAACACAGCCUACCUUUUGCCCAUUUAAGUUGAAGGAGUAAGUCACAGUAGAUAGGCAAGACAUGAUCCAUUUAACAAAAAUUGGACAAAACCCCAUUUUCAUCAUAACUCUCCCCACAUAUUUCCAUUCGACUCUAUCGUAAGCUUUGGACAUGUCCAGUUUAAGAGCCAUAAAUCCUACCCUUCCCUUUCUCCUAUUUUUCAAAAAAUGCAGGAUUUCAUGUGCAACUACUACAUUAUCAAGAAUUUGACGGCCUGGGAUAAAAGCGGAUUGAGAGGGACUAAUACAAUGAUGCAAGACACCUUUCAAUCUAUUAGCUAUGAUUUUAGAAAUGAUUUUAUACAGGACAUUGCACAAGCUAAUAGGUCUAAAAUGCACCACAGAUUCAGGAGUAUCAACUUUAGGAAUCAACGAAAUAAUAGUAUCAUUCACAGCUUUGAGCAAAUGCCCAGUAUGAAAGAAACUCUUAAUAGCUGCUACCACAUCAUCCUUGAUAAUAUCCCAAUAGUGUUGAAAAAAUAGAGGAGACAUACCAUCCGUUCCUGGUGCUUUAUUAGGGUGCAUCGAGAACAAAGCUUUCCUGAUCUCACUUUCCUCCACUUGUCGUAUCAGUUGUCCAUUCAUAUGACUCGAAAUAGUGCUUGGAAUUUCAGCUAGAAUGUCCUCAAAGCAGUCCGGGUUAGUAGUGGUAAAAAGGUCUUUAUAGUACUCACAAAGUUCCUCCUCAAUCUCAUGUUCCUCCUUGCACCAUGUCCCAUCUUUUUUCUGCAAUAUAGUGAUCUUAUUUCUCCUCCUCUUUGCCAUGACCGAAGAAUGGAAAAAAGCUGUAUUCUUGUCCCCUUCUUUGAGCCACUUGUUCCUGGAUUUUUGACUCCAAAACAUCUCUUCCUCUGCAUAAGCUUUAUUCAAUUGUGCUUUUAGUUCAGCCACUUGUACUCUUUUCCCUUCAUCCUUUCUUGCUUUCACUUCAGCCAAUUUCUCCUUUAACACUUUAAUUCUAACCUUUGAGUUUCCCUGCACCUUUUUCCUCCAAUCCAGAAUAGCCAUGCGACAUUCCUUUAUUUUUGUAGCCACUCUAAACAUCCUGGACCCUGACUUCACCUUUGUCCAUGCUCCUUGAAUCACCCUUUUUGCUUCUGGAUUUAGCGUCCAUCGUUGAUCAAAGUAAAAUCUCCGUUUUCUCCUUGUGUUUUCCGGGUUUGUAUCCACAAGAAGCAUUAGAUGAUCAGAGGCUUCAGUAUCUAAAUGAGUACACUGUGCCUUUUCAAAUCUUUGCAGCCAUUCGGUGCUGCAUAAACAUCUAUCCAACCUCUCUUUCACUUCCCCAUCCCCCUCCCAACUAUUGCACCAAAUCCACGGGACCCCUUGAUAACCUAAGUCAACCAGGUUAUUGUCUUUGAUAAACCUGUUGAACUCCCUAAAACAUCUUUCAGCUCUAUCCCUUCCUCCCCACUUCUCCUCACUAGACCUCAAAUCAUUAAAAUCUCCUACAAUGAUCCAGCCAUCCCCCCAGUCCCUCAUCCUGUCCUCUAAAUAUUUCCAUUGUGCUUUUCUAAUGUUACUAUCUGUGCUUGCAUAAACACACACUAGCCCCCAGUAUCCUUUAGUAUCCUUGUCCUCAACUCUAGCACUAAUACACCAAUCAGUACUUACAAUCUGGUCUAAAAUCACCUCAUUGUUCCAGAAUAAUGCUAGACCGCCUGCUUUACCUAUUGAAUUCACAAAAAAGCUAUUGUCAUACUGAAUCUUCCUUUGAACCUUGCCCAUAAACCCUUCCUGAUUCUUAGUUUCACAAAGGAACACCACCUUAGGAGAGUGGAAGUUAGUCACUUCCUUUAGUUGGGGACUUGUCAAGGGGCCUCCUACACCUCGACAAUUCCACACCACAACCUUCAUUUACACUUUGGAGGCUUUCCGGGGCUAGCCUCCAUUUCCCCUAUUGUACUAACAUUUAUUAGAUCCAGUUUCAUAACCUUUACCUUCGGUACAUUAUCAUCAUCCUCCUCUAUCGGUUGUGUUCCCUGAAACAUACCAUCAGCCUUCCUUUUAGCACACGAAACCUGCGUUACUUGUCCAUUUGUAUCUGCCUUUAAGGAUGUUUUAGCCGGCCUCCCUCUUCUUUUAAAACUGCUUCUUUUUUCAGCUUUGUUAUCUUCUUCCCCUGGAGUAGCCUCCUUUCUUGGCAUUCUUGCAUUUGUCUCCUCCUGCUUUAUUGACCCUACCCGCAAACUUUCACAUUCCUGUUUUGAGCUGUCCGUUUCCAUAUCCUCAUAAUCUACUGGUGGGAUUACGCUGCUCCCUCCUUUACUCCCUUCCUGUACCCUACCCUCCUUUUCACCAUUUCCCUCCAUUAAGACCACAGCCAAACUUUCCACCCGUUGGUUUGCCUUUCCAUACUGCCUGCUGUCUUUUAGAAUCUCAUCCCACCUCUCUUCAUAUUGUCUCGUCAUCAUUUUCUCCUUAUCCCCCCUUUCCUUUCCCCCCAAGACUCUACCAUUUUUUCCCCCAAGAGUUAAUGUAUCUCCAGCCAUUUGUACUCCAGUUUGAACUUCACUACUAGGAGACCCUGCCCCCACCCUCCUUGCAUCAAUUUCACUUACUCCUUCCAGCCGUCCCUUUAAGGGAGAUACCAUUAUAUUUCCAGCUCUCAUCCAGGCACCAUAUUGUUCCUCUCGCUUCUCCCCCCCACCCUUCCUACCACAGUACAAGUCCUAUCACUAUGCCCAAUGAUACCACACCUAUAACAGAAAUCAGGGCAGCGUUCAUACCUGAACUCAACCCACACUGCCUGGUUCUUACAGUUGAUCUUUGUCCCUCUAACCAGUGGUUUCGUUAUAUCUACCUCAGCCAUAAUCUUCAUGUGGCGACCCUCUUUCCCACCACUUCCUGGGAGAAUCACUCCCCUCACUGAUUUAAAGAUCCCUCCUAUUUUCAAACCCACUGCUCUGCUCAACCAGUGCACCGGUAGGUUCCAUAGUUGAAUCCAAAGAAAGGAAUGCUGGAAAAAGCUGCUGUUUGUAUCAUACCCCUCUACCCACUCCUUCACUAUCAGCAACUGGUUGUCCAUGACCCAAGGCCCUCCAGAUAAGAUCUUUUUCUUUUCCCCUUCAUCUCCCAGAUGGAAAUGGAAUAAGUUAGGACCUAACUCAGUCACUUUCAUCUUUGAGGGGUAUCCCCAUGCAUGAUUUGUAAAGUUCUUUAACCCCGUAAAGUUGGCAAUUUUUUCACCAAUCAGCUUUCCUACCAGGCUUCCUUGACACUCAGAGACGCCUUCUUCCAGGUCCUCACCACUCAGAUCGACACCUCCUAACUCUGUUUCAGACAAGUCAAAAUUUUGAAAGGCUCUUUCUAAAGCAUCCGCCAUUGCUGUGACGAGAGCUCCUUGAGAAACCAAGCACUAUUUCUGAGCUAUGAGUGACCCACUGACAGACCUGUGAAGAAUUGCAAAGACAGACAAAGCUGUGUUAUCCGUACACACUAAAAACCAACCAGAAAAACAGAGAGGAACUCGACAGAAAAAGCACAGGCACAAGAAGAAACGAAAGAAAAAAGAAAAACCAACAAACCACUAUCCCACUCCCGACCACAUAACAGCAUUAAAGAAAGGGACACAAAUACGACACUCCAACUUCCGAUCACAUGCUCUGACUCAAUGGAUCAUAUCUUGCCCAAAGCGUUUACUCCUCCAACCGAUUCCAAACCACUACAGACAUUGUCUCCCAUUUUGAAGCCGGAAGAAAGGUGGCUUCUGGACAGGGAACAUGAAAGCAAAGGUUGAACUAAAGAUUUGAUUUUAGAUCUGAAAAUUACGCUGUAGGAAAAAGUGCUAUGUGUUUGUACCUCACCCACUCUCCCACACCGAGGAGGGGAACCUCUAAAGUUAGAGAGAGAAGCUCUCAAGUUAGAGAGAAGCUUUGGAAGUUAAUUACCAACGUACCAUGCCGUACAUGUUUGUAAGGAUUUCUAUCCUAUUGGCAAAAGUCGGUUCCAUACAAUUAAUCAAUUCAUUUCACUUCUAUUGGCUCUACUAUUUAUGCAUGUUACGACACUCUUUCCCUUAUAUUUUGCCUUUAAUAUUAUGAGUCAAUAGUAAUAAUGGGCCUUUUUCUUAAAAUUAUACUAUUAUACAUAGGUAGUUUGGUCUAACGCUAAAUUCAUGUUUGUCUUUCUUUUAUUCCCUUUACAUCUCAAAGUAUACUAUAGUUUGUAAUCAUUGUGGUGAUGAUAUUACCAGCUGGUACUUAUAGUUUAAGGCAGAGACAUGAUAUUAACAACUAUCUCAUUGAAACAUAAGUCAAAAUCAUGACAAGUGUGAGUCUUGGUUAAUGCACAAUUUGUUAGUGGAAUUUAUAUUUAUAAAACUCAAAAAAAAUUUUUGACAAUGCUAUUACUAAUUAAUUAAGGACUUCAUUGCUAUAAUUUAUCGCUUACUAAUUUAAACUAUAAAUGAUCUCAAUACUUUUCUCCAUGAUGUCGAUUUCUUUAGACUACGAAAGGGAAAAAUUAGUGACAUAUCCCUUACUGAUUACAACAUCAGCAAAAAUUAGUUAUAAACUUUUCCGGUGGUUUUAAAUCCCUCGGGCACUAAGGUUUUUUGCACAUCGAGUGAAUUAAGGAACAUAGGCAAUUCGUUCUGCAUACCAAGUCCUUGUUUAAGAUGCACGUACUAAAAUGCAUCCACUUCAUUAAUUUGGAAAAUUGCCAUAGUUUUUUUUAAGCAUUUUGAUUUUUUACAUGAUUCAAAAUUUUCUUAUUGGAUACAAUCACUUUGUGUCAAGAACACAUUUUCAAUCAUCUUUUUUAUCUUCUCAAUAAGAAAAUAAAAAUUUAUUCAUGCUUUUCUAACAUAUCCAAUCAUUGAUCUGAAAAAUAAAGAAUUAAAAAAAAAAGACAUUUUCAAUCAUUGCUUACGGGGCAACUUCCCCAUGUGAACCUCAUCAAACAAAGCCAAUAAUAUGAAGGAACAUCUAAAUACACUUUUGCCCUAAAGGCUGGUUGCCUUGGGGUCAAAAUUUAACCUUCGGGAGUAUAAUUACCCGCCAAAUUUAUUAUUUUUUUUAUGGGUAUAUAGUUCCAAUUUUGCCUCCUGUUAAGCUUAUAAAUAUAUUACGACCCAGAAAAUAAAGGAAUCUUGAAUAGUAACAUGUCCAUUGACUUGAGUUGUUAUCAAUUUGGCUACUUCGAUUCCAUGAGGCCAAUCCAAUUCACACUAGCUAGAGAAAAUGGUGAUAAAGGCACUUAGAAAUUUAUAUGUAAUAUUGAUUGGUAGUAACUGAUAAGUAUAUAUUUUACGUGUUUUAAAUAUGUUUUAUUAGUUAGUUUUGGUGUGUUUUAACUACUUUUAUAACUAAUUAACUAGGAAUCUAGUGAAAAUAUGCAUUUUGUGGUUUGAAGUGUAAAAAUUGUAUUUCUAUGGAUUUUAAUGGUGAAAACUUCAUGUUUUUGUAGGUUUAAUGAUUCAAUCAUCAAAUGACAUGAUUUGAGAAGAUAAUUAGAUGAUUGAUGAUGUUUUGAAGUGAUAAAAAGAGAAUACAAAGUGCAAGAGAGGAAAUGCAAUCAAGAAUAAAAGAAGAAAAUUUUUGUAGCUUUGACAUAUUGUCGUAUUUCGGCAAUAUAUUGAGCUACAAUGAUCGGAUUAAGGUGAUUCUUAAACCAUUUGAAGCUAAAAUAUAGAUCUACAUUUGGCAUGAAGGCAUCGAAACCCAUGUCAGUCAUUUUCCUUGUCAAAAUGUUGAAAUACAGAAGUGCAACUCUGUUCUCGAAAGCUAAAACAGAGCUCUGGCUAGUCGAGGGUAUUUUCAUCAUUUCUUAGUCCACAGAGCUCCAAAUGAGAUGAUUCUUAAGGCAUUAGAACCCUAACUCAAAGAGCUACAACUUUCAUAUUUUGUACAAGAGUUAGUUCGGCCUCUAUCAUUAAGAAAAUAGUAGUUGAAGUGGUGCCAAAUGCAUAGAAGUGAAAACGCGAGCUAUCAAUACUCGACCUGAAGUCGCGUAUUCCUGAGGUCAUGCAUUCUCUUCUAUUUUCUGCAACUUGCCCUGCUUUCACAUAACUUUUUCAUCUCAAUUCCAACUAUCAAUUUCGGCUAUAUCUGAUCAAGAAAAGUGUGGAAAGUUUGAAAGACAACUCAUAGGAGUUUCAAGAGUCAAAAAUUACAAUUAGAAACAACUCAUUUGGCUCUUGAAUCCUCUAUAAAUAGAGGCCUUUGAAGAACAUUUUCACAACUUUGGAAGGUUAGAGAAACUCCACAAAAACAUAGUCUUCACUAGAAUUUCCUUAGUUCAUUAGUUAGGGUAGUAUAGUAUAGUUAGUGUAGCUUUUCCUUCUUGUAUUUAUAGUUAGGUUUGAAUGAAGAUUCAGGAGCAAAGAUAGAGAGGUUGAUCUCAUGUGACAAGGGUGAUAUCUCUUCUACUACUUUCUCUUUUGUAUUUGAUUUCAUAUUUAACUAUACUACAAAUUUGGCUUUGUUUUUUUUUUUUUAUCAUGUUUAGUUAAAGUUUAUGCCUAGAGUAUGGAUGACCUUUUUAUAUCUUGUUUGUGAUAUUUAACUGGUUAUUUGAUGAUGUUAUUUUUGAGCAAGUUAUUUAUCACUUUUGCUUUUCUAAUCAUGAUUAACUGGCCAUUAGUUGUGAUUAUCUAAAAGUGUUAAGUUUGUAAUGAGAAUUGGAGUUUAACACUAGUUCAAGGAAGUGAUAAAUUUAGGGAGUUCACUCAUGAGAGUAGAGGAACACCUUUGUGACCUAAGUGACUUGUUUCAUAUAAUUUCAUAGAAAAAAUGAACUUGUAAUUAAUUUCAUAACCACGAGAGUAAGUAUGGUUUAGCUAUAUGUAUAGUUGAUUCACUACGAGAGUAGGUUUCACAUACAUUAGAAAAUUACAUCAUAACUAGUCAAGAUAAUAUCAUUCAUUUAAUCAGUAAUCUCAUUUGCAUGAGUAGUAAGGCAUUCCAUAUCUCUAGGAGGUUUUUAGUAUUAUUUUCAUUACUUUUAUGUUUAUGGUAGUCUAGAUAAUAAUGGAGUUCGAAAACUACUAGUAAUUGAAAAUUUUCCCUGUGGGAUCGACCUUUAAUACCCUAUACUCGCUCUCGACUCGUAUACUUGAGAAAAAUCACGUGUGCGGUAUUUAGAAUUUAUAAAUGUAAAACUUGACUGUAGAUGAACUAAUUGAUAUAUGUAUACCCCGCACUCGUCAGUAACCAGCUUGUAUUGAUCCCACUAUUGUGGAUAAUUGUGCUCUUAUGAAAAAAAAUUAUAAAAAAAUUAGCAAAAUUUAUGAUAACAAAUUAAAUUUAUUCAUACAAAUCAGUGAAAGAAGUAGAAUUUUAAAGUCCAUGAUGAAAUUAAUACUUUCAAGGGCUCUAUUAGGAAGACUUCACUUGUUGGUGAAACUACACUAGCACAGUUAUAUGCACAUUUACUGUUUUGGUAUCUAAUUUCCUUGCCUUAAGUUGGGUGCAGAUGUUUAUAUUACAAAUAGAUGGUAUCAUAAAAUUGUUGUAUUCACGUUUGUUCUUUUUUUUCUUCCUUAAGUUUUUUUCUUUAUUCUCGUGACUUCAAAAAUACGAACUCAAGAAAUUGGCUGCUUAAUCAAUAUGUCAUACAGGCUUCGCUAGUGAGGUAUAACUUCACAACUAGAGUCAAUAGAAAUUAUCAAAUGAUUUUUUAACAUCCAAAUUAAGCAAUAAAUUUUGUUUUCAUUUUAUGACAUAUAAUAGUACUACUUCAUGAGAGAUUUUAUAGUUUCUUUUAGGUAUCAUACCUACAAGUGAUAUUUGUCAUUGGAUAGUGACAGAAGUGUUAAUGAUUGUAAGAUUAAAUAUUGUUAAAUAUUGAAAUUUAAACUAUUUAUCUUUAUUGAAAGAUACAAGUUAAAGAAUCGUUCAAGGGGGCAAUUUUCCAUCUUGUCUUUUUGAAAAAACGCUAUCACAUUGUAUAGGCAUGAUAGGUUCAAAUUUGUCAUUAAAUUUAUGAUUGAUUUUCCUUUUAUUCAAGCCAAAUAUUGUUUUAAUUAUCAAAUUCUACUUAUAUUUGGUUAAUUGUACUAAUUGUAGGGCGGUAGAGCAAAAGUUGCUAAAAAUAGGCGAUUUUCUGCAAAUUGGUUGUCAAGGCUGAAGGAUUUGGGAUUCGCAUGUUCAAGGCCUGUUUCCAAGUUUGAUUCAAACUCUGGACAGUUUUAGAGGAAGAUUUGGAAGAUUUGAAAUUUCAUUAUUAGUUUUAUGGUUGAAUUAGGAAUCUUGGAAUAAUUUCUUUUGUGAUUUAUUUUUCUAUUUAGGAGACUAGUUGUUAUUUAGUAGUAGACUUCAAUUAGAAAACAAAGAGAAAAAGAAGGCCGGAAUCCCGCUUGAUUAAUACCUUGGCCAGGGAACAAUCUCGGUGGGGAGGACGGCCACUUAGCCUCUCAAUUCAUCUUGCUUUUCGUUAGUUUGAGAGGAAAACCAAUUGCAACUAGAUUCAAUGGAGUCUGGCAGAAUUUCUUCUAGGAUGCGUAGCUAAAUCCUCAAUUUUUAGUCGAAGGUCAAUUUGAAAAUUCGGUUCCAAAUAUCUGUGAAAUCGAAUUAUUUUACUUAUUUCUUUUAUUUAUUGGUAUUCGCACGUUUUCUGAUUUAACUUUUUAUGAUUGUUUUGUUAUUUGAAUGUCAAGGGUCCGAUAUUCGAAUUAACUUAAUAAUCUACUGCCAAAUUAACCGGUUAAAUCCGUAAUUGUUUGAUUGAUUAAUAUCAGUGGCGACUAGCGUGAUUGGUCCCAUGUUAGGAAAACGUCUGAUCUAAUUUAAACAAACCGUCGUAGCGUGUUUGUUGAUUAGGGUUGGGCUUUUCUAAUUCUUAAUUCAAUUGAGAAAUUAAAUCCCCCGGUCGUACCUAGGAUUAUUUUUUUGUUAGCGAAAUAGUUAAUGGUCGUACCUUGACUAUCGAAAAAGUAAGGAAGAGUUGAUUGUUUAUCGCGUGUACGACAACUAUAAUCAAUCUAUUAAUGAGUAAUUGAAUUAUCUUUGCAUCAGUAAUCAGUUGAAUGGACCGUGUCUGAAAAGUUGUACCUUUGGCUAGAGUCUUAUCUGUUGUUGAUUCAUUCAUAUCUAUCUUCAUGCGUUGUUUUAAUUUAGUUAAUUAGUUAUUUUUAUAAAAACCCCUCAUCUCUGGACUCUAAAAGAAAUAAAUUAUUUCUAGUUCCUGUGGAUUCGAUCCUACUCACCAUACAAUCCAACCUGCAAUUGUAUGAACCCCAAUCUCGCUUCCUAGUCCACCAUUUUUCUCUAGGUAAUAAUCUCCCUUCUAAUUUCUUCACAAAAUGCACCUUUCAUCACCUCCAAUAGCGUCGACAUGAUCUUUACCCCAGAAGACUAUUCACCGACUCUCAAUUGACGUUAGAAAAUCUAAGAGUAAUUCUACUUUACCCUAAGAUUGAUAUCAACAAGACAAGGACAAUUUAGAAUUAUUACACGCCUCUUCUUAAUAGGAAAAAGAAAUAGAGAAGAAAGUCAGGCCAGGUCUAAUUUCUUUUCAAAGGCAAUACAACAUUACGAAAUCAAGCAUUCAUUCAUACAAAUAUUUCAUAGUCACCGGUUUGCUGAGUAGAAAAAUUUAGACAAAAACUUAAUAUUAUAUUGUUUAAGAGUUAACAAUUUAGAGCUUAAUCUCCUUGUACUUUGGAGUUAACAAUUUAGAGCUUAAUCUCCUUGUACUUUGGACUAAACUUGAACGUGAAAGGAAAUCCCAAAACCAUAUUGGGCAUGAAUUCACACUUAAUAUACCCAAUAAAAGAUGGCGACUGGUGAAAGGCAGUGGAGACUGGUGGAGAGAUUUGAGGAAUAGAAGCAGACGGAAAAGCAACAAAUUUUUGCCGAAAAACGGUCACUUUCAUGGUUAAUUUUGCUACUCUCCAAUUGUACUUGACCAAUUACAACAAUUUCAUGGAGUUUGAUACGUGAAAAGAAUUUUUUAUAAAUUUUAUUUUGAUCCAUAAUGUUAUCUUUACAUAUAUAAAACAUUUUACAAUUUUGAUUUUGGCGCAGUUAACUUUUGGUAAACAAAAAUGCUCAUGUUUAAAAAACCGGAAAUAAAACAAAACAAGAAACAAAAGAAAUAAGAGGGUAGCAUAGACAUUUUGGAUUUUUCCGUUAAUUUGGAUGAUUUCCACCCACGUUCUAAUUUAAUCCAAAACACAAAGGAAUUACGUAGAGGUUUUAAAUAAUGAGGGAGCUUCAUGAUCGAACCCCAAACCACAAGGCGAUUUACUAUAUUUUACUCUUAAAUUUUGGUUUCAUCUCAUAGCAUACAAGAGUUCUAUUUCACUAUCUGUAGACAAAGACUUUCUAUGGUUGAUGUACCAUAGGAAAAAAUCUGCCUAUACAACGUGAUAGCAUUUUUUCAAAAACACAAGAUGGAAAAUUGCCCCCUUAAACGGGGAAAUUCAUGAUCUUUCCUCGAACAAAGAAUACUCACGCCUAUUCAAGAUGGAAAAUUGCCCCCUUAAACGUCUAUUUGUCAAUUCUUGAAAAAAGAAUACUCACGCCUAAAACACGGCCUCUUCAUCUGCAGAAUUCUAAAAAGUUAGGUAAACUCUAUAAACAAGUUGAUAGGUACAAUCGUACCCAAGAUCAAGUACAGAUAGUUGUACAUUCACUGCUGCAAUAACUAAUCUGAUGACUUACAAACAUAUCAUGGUCAAUCGUUGAAUGGUAAUGAGUCUUUUGUUAUGCAUUAGUAUUAGUGUGUACACUCUAAUAGAUUGAUACUUAUACUCUUUAAAUUAUCAUAAUAAUACCCUUAAUUAACUUUAACUCUUAAAAAGAAUACGUGUUAAUACACGAGAGUGUGUAACCUGAAUUGUUACUUAUACAUUAGUGUGUAAUAGAUAGGGAUGGCAAUGGGGGCGGGUGCCCGCAGGCAACCGCCCCGCGGGGGGCUCUCGGGGCGGGGAGGGGGGAAUUUUUUCCCCCCGUUUAGAAACGGGGCAGGGGACGGGGGAGUAUACCCCCGCCCCAUCCCCCGCAAAAAAAAUUAUAUAUAUAUAAUUAUAUAUAAUAUGUAAUUUAAUUAGUUAUAAACUUAUGAUAAUGAUAUUAUUAGUUAGAUGUAUUAUAUAAUGUAUAUUAGUGUAUGUAAUAUAAUUAAUAUUAUCAAUUAUACGAAUAAUUAGACAUGUCUACUAAUAGAAUUUAUUAAUUAGUUAUACUAAAUUUACUAAUACAUUUAUACUAAAUUUCUAAUUACAUUUAAUAGAAUAACACUUUUUUCUAAAAAAAAAAGCACAAACACAAUAAUGAAUUAGUGAUUGUAUUUUUACCAAAAAUGAAAACUUAACUAUUUUAGUUGCAUUUAUUUCAUCAUGUUGGAUUGUAUUCAAAUAAUUUUUGUUUGAUUGUUUUUAUGAGUUUCAAUUGUAAAAUUAAAAUGAAUAAUAACUUGAUGAAUAAUAAUGUCAAUCGUUGAAUGGUGUGUACACUCUAAUAUUAUGCAUUAGUAUUAGUGUGUACACUCUAAUAGAUUGAUACUUAUACUCUUUAAAUUAUCAUAAUAAUACCCUUAAUUAACUUUAACUCUUAAAAAGAAUACGUGUUAAUAACUCUUAACCUGAAUUGUUACUUAUACAUUAGUGUGAAAUAGAACGGCAAGCAUUGAGCAACUUAUAGGAGAAAUAGUCCUAUAAGCUGUUGGAUGACUAAUAUAGCUCUAGCUGUAAUGUUUUAAUUAAAUUACAUCACUAACGUUGGGAUGACUAAUGGUUUAAAAAUAAUUGAGUAAUUGGAAAAAAAAAAAGAGACUAAUUUUCAUUGAAACCCACCGACAAACUAAACGUGUCCAUGGCUUUUGAAUAGUGCAUUCAACGUUUAAUUGUAUAGUCCAGUUCAUUGCAGAUUACAUGGAGUAAAGAUUGUGCUCUUUCCUUUUUCACCCCUUUUGGAAUCGAUACUGUGGAGAAUUGGGUUUUUCCCUUCUUUUUUUCUUUUCUUUCUUUCUGUGCUUUGCAAAACAUAGGUAAAAUUAUGAAAUCCGAAGCAUUCUUUAAUUGGGAUUAAGUAUUGUUCUUGAAAUUAAAAAGAAGAAAGAAAGAACAACAAAAUUCCCUGAUUGGUUGCAUCGUGCUUCCAUAGAAGCUCUCUUAGUGUGAUACACUGCUUUCAAUCAGUUUAACAUGGAAAAAAGAAAGAGAUGAAAAGCAAAUUUGGUGGGGAUAAUUUCAGAAACCUCCCCUGAAGAUUUUGACUAUUCUACUGGUCUCCCUUCAGAUUUUAAAAAUUACACUAAUCUUCCUUGAAGUUAUAACAUUUAAAUUCAAUCAAUAAUUUAAAAAAUGAUAUUAUGAAAGAGAAAAUAAUAUGAUUUUAUCAUUGCCCCCCAUCUUACUACAUUAUUUAAUUAAUUUAAUAGCAACCCACACAUUAAAGAAAAAUAUAAAAUUUGUUAUUUAUCAUUAAAGAUCAAAUCGCUUAUAACAUCAAAUAAUAGUAUAUUAUUUAUAUUUUUCACUUAACAUAAUAUCCAAAUUACUCUUUUCAAUUACAUACUCAUUGUUAGACAAUCAACAACAAAUAACCAAAAAAUUUGCAACCAAAAUAUUACAAAAAAAAAUAAACUUUAACAUCAUAAAUAUUCUUAUCAACAUAUUAAAGUUAGUUACUGAAAUUUUUAUGGUGUUAAACUUCACUCUUUGUAAUAUUUUGGUUACAGAUUUUUUUUGAUUAUUUUUUAUUAAUUAUGUUUGAUGAUGGGUUUGUAAUUGAAAAGAAUAAUUUAAAACUUACAUUAAGUGAAAUAUAUAGAGUGAUAUACUAUUUUUUAUAACAUAUGUGAUUCAAUCCUUCUUGAUAGGAUUGGUAAUAGAGGUAGAGGGGGGAGUCGGCUGCAUCCGGUCUUCUUUUCAUAGAUAGUACAAUAUUGCGAAAUCAAUCGCAUUCACACAAUAAUAUUUCGAAGUCAAUGCAUGGCUAAGUUGCAUAAAAGUACGAACACUUGUUAUUAUAUAGCUUAAGAUUCAAAACUUUAGAGCAUAACCCUCCACCUAACACAAUUGAAUAAUGAAUAUUCACGUUUGUCAAAUCUGUCAAAGCACAGUUUGAGGACAACCCAUUCCAACCUGCAAAAGAUUUUUUACUUUUCUAAAGUUGUUGAGAGCUGUAAAAAGACCUACCAUGCUUACAUCCUCCGAGCCUUGGGAGUUAAAAAUGAAGGCACUGAGUGCUAUAAAAAGGGGGCUAGAGGCUGCCUAGAAGCAUAUCAGCCUAAAACAAGAAUUUGUUGUUAUGAUGGGAAGCAAAGCAAAAGCAAUGGGGUCUGGGCUGACUCCUCUUCUUGCCACUGUUUUAGUGGUAUUUGUUGCUCUUGGCUUGCCCUCAGAAACAGCAGCUGAUGAUCACUACAAGUAUUCAUCUCCUCCUCCUCCUUACCACUAUCCCUCACCACCGCCUCCAGUGCAUUUACCUCCACCAGUGUACAAAUACAAGUCCCCACCACCACCUCAUCAUGUUUACAAGUACAAAUCUCCACCACCCCCACCACCACACCCAGUUUACAAGUAUAAGUCACCACCACCACCUCCUCAUCCGGUACCACACCCAGUUUACAAGUAUAAGUCACCACCACCACCUCCUCAUCCGGUAUACAAGUAUAAGUCUCCUCCGCCACCACCACACCCAGUUUACAAGUAUAAGUCACCACCACCACCUCCUCAUCCGGUACCACACCCAGUUUACAAGUAUAAGUCUCCUCCGCCAC